CCCUUCGCCAUCACUUCAGCACCAGAGCAACGAGAGCGAGCCGCAAGCUUGGUGCUGCAGAAGAAGUGCUCUUCUUGAGAAUCCAUUUCUCAGAAGAAUAGCUUCCUUCUGCGGAAUAUCACCUUCAUAUAUAUAUAUAUAUCUGAGCAAUAAAAAAUGGCUCGCUCUCCCGCCAACGCUAAGCUUCUCGUCGAUGGUCUUUCCCUUUCUGUCUUCCGGUGAGAAUACAACUCCUCUUGCUCUUCUCUUUUCUGGGUUUUUCAUAUUCUUGAUACAUAUAUCUAGACUGUGUUCUCUUCUAUAAUAAAACGAAGGAAAAUCAAGGUUCUUGCAAUUUUCUGGUCCUUUUAUCCUCGAGAAACUGUGGUUUCUUUGUUGCAUGAUUAAGAAAGAAAAGGGUAGGUGUAUUUUGAAUUGAUUGAUUUCUUCUAUUAAUUUACGUGAUUUGUUGAUAUUAAGUGAAUAUUAAUGUGAACAGGAGGUGCUAUGCGGCUGCGCCACAAGGGGCAGUGCUCGGUAGGGAAGGGUCAAGAAGUGGUACGAUGAGGAAAGUGGAAGAAAGGGGUGCGAUUAAAGAAGAUUCAGGGGCGUCAUCUGCAUGGGCUCCAGAUCCCAUCACAGGGUACUACAGGCCAGCAAAUUGUGGUGCUGAGAUCGACCCAGCUGAGCUUCGAGAAAUGUUAUUGAACCACAGGGUUAGGCCACAGUAGAACGAGAAGAACUGGCGGCUGCCCACAAGGUUAUGGUCUGUGGUGGUGUUCACUCUCGUCCCUUUUGGGCAGCUUAUAACUUAAUAGUUUGUUUUGGCUUUUUUUGUUAUGAUGAUCUUCCAUGAGGAGUAGUAUUAGAAAUAUAUCCAACUUCCUAGCUAGCUCUUUUUAUGGGCUCUUGCAUUUGGAGCUUUCAGUUUUAUUUACAAUAUUAUCUUGCUGCUUCGCUUGAGAAAUUUUGAGUUUAAAAUUUUAAUUGAUUUUUUUAAUAAUAAUAAAUUUAAUCAUUCAUUCUAGAACAUGCAAUUUAUAUCUGAUUGAGAAGAUGAGAUAAAAGAGGGAAUACCGUAAAUUAAGUAAACAACCAACUUAUUGUGGCCAAGUUCCCAUCCACCAAAGCAUGGGCUUAAAGUUAAGUUUAAAGGACUGAUUAGCCAGCCCAUUAAGUCAUGUGGUCUCCAUUAAAUUGAGAGUGACCAUAAAAGGGCCCGCUUUAUUUACUAUCGAUUCAUAUUUUGUCUGAAUUCAAAAGAGGUUUAUUAAAAAUAAAAUAAACUUUCAUCCCAAUUCUCUGCUCCUGGUUCCGUCUUUCUAUGUUCACAACCUUCUGAUCUCGGGAAACACCCAAUUUGGAAUCAAAACUUGAACUAUAGGAGACUUGAAAAGAUUGAGAAAAGAAGAAAGAGGAAUGUCAUAUUCCACAAUAAGCUCUAGCAAGAGGUGUCAGAUAGCUUUAUAUAUCAAUUUCGGUGAAAGGGAAGGAAGAAAGAUCAUCUUGAUGACCAAAUUUUCACUUGGUACAAACCACAUACACAUGCUGCUCACACUUCUGUGAUCCUUUUGGCUGUUGGCUUGAUAGUAAAACUACAAUGGACAUGAACCCAAAAUAUUGCACGUACAACUGAAUUUUACCAUAUGGCAUAAACCUCUUUCUUUAACCCUUCACAAUAUCCAAAGUCUAAUAGAGUAGCUUUGCAUGUGAAGAGGGUACCCUCAAGCUUAUGAAAAAUCUAACUAAAAGAAGUACAAGUUUUAAGGGCCCACUCUAGUAUUCAUGUCUGCUCCAACAUCAGUGUCCCUUAAGGCAGCCUUUUUGGCUUGUCUUUUUGCUCAAUUUGAUUGAAAGCCCUCCCCUUGCCACCUUUGCCCUUUCCUUUCCAUGAUGUUUCAGAUUUUCUUUUCUUCCUUGGCUGUGAAUUUCUUGACCUAUCACUAUAAUUUCUUUGCUUAUAUGCUACAUGACUAAAACAUGAUUAAACAUCCACCUUGAUUCAUUCGAAAUUAAAAUAAGUUGUGUGUAUAGUUAGGGUAAGAUUUCUAAUUGUUAAGAUUUGAACUCUCAACAUUAAAUUGACAACUAAUUAAUCUAAACCAUACUUAUAAUUCACCUCUAUCUGUAUACUUGUUGAUGACCGCUGGAUUUCUUCACCCCAGAACAGGGGGGUGACCGCAGCCAAAGGCCCAUGAUACAGAGGNNNNNNNNNNNNNNNNNNNNNNNNNNNNNNNNNNNNNNNNNNNNNNNNNNNNNNNNNNNNNNNNNNNNNNNNNNNNNNNNNNNNNNNNNNNNNNNNNNNNNNNNNNNNNNNNNNNNNNNNNNNNNNNNNNNNNNNNNNNNNNNNNNNNNNNNNNNNNNNNNNNNNNNNNNNNNNNNNNNNNNNNNNNNNNNNNNNNNNNNNNNNNNNNNNNNNNNNNNNNNNNNNNNNNNNNNNNNNNNNNNNNNNNNNNNNNNNNNNNNNNNNNNNNNNNNNNNNNNNNNNNNNNNNNNNNNNNNNNNNNNNNNNNNNNNNNNNNNNNNNNNNNNNNNNNNNNNNNNNNNNNNNNNNNNNNNNNNNNNNNNNNNNNNNNNNNNNNNNNNNNNNNNNNNNNNNNNNNNNNNNNNNNNNNNNNNNNNNNNNNNNNNNNNNNNNNNNNNNNNNNNNNNNNNNNNNNNNNNNNNNNNNNNNNNNNNNNNNNNNNNNNNNNNNNNNNNNNNNNNNNNNNNNNNNNNNNNNNNNNNNNNNNNNNNNNNNNNNNNNNNNNNNNNNNNNNNNNNNNNNNNNNNNNNNNNNNNNNNNNNNNNNNNNNNNNNNNNNNNNNNNNNNNNNNNNNNNNNNNNNNNNNNNNNNNNNNNNNNNNNNNNNNNNNNNNNNNNNNNNNNNNNNNNNNNNNNNNNNNNNNNNNNNNNNNNNNNNNNNNUAACAGGCAGCUGAUACCCUAGUACACCCGAAUCUGUAUGGCAGAGACGCGUGGCCCAAUCCUGGAGAGACCUUUACACGUCACCAGCAAGCAAGACAAUGUAUAAAAGAGGAGUCCCCUCCUCAGAAUGAAAAAGCUUUAUUAUUCAAUACAAGAACCCUAUUCUAUUGGAUCUCAGAUCAUCACUUGUCAUUCAGCAAGUAAAUAAUGGAUAAAUAUUUUGAUAGUAUGGAAUGAUUCUUCUAUUUGCAGAGCAACUCAAUCCCUUCUUAGAUCUAAAUUUCUUUUUAUAUAUUUCUAUACCUAUAAGGUUUAUUAAUUUAAAUUUAAAUAGAAAAUAACGUUCAGUAAUUAGGUGAACAUACUUAGAAUAUGAAAACAAUUUGCUAAGAUCGAAUUUGUAGGGAUUCUGUUUUUUAAGAAUUCCACUUUCACUAAUACUACUAUUCACAUAGAAGAAGAGGAAGAAAAAGGAAUCAAUAAAUUAAUGGUAGAGGCUGGCGACAACAAGGUAACGGUAGGCAAAAAUAGGAUGAUGGAGCUUCCGGUGUGUCCAUUACCACCAGACAUGUGUGCCCAUGUGAGGAUCCUAAUCCUUGCUAUAUAAAAAUAGAAAUAUUUAUUAAAUUCUUUGUCUCAGUUUCAGAUACAAAAUACAAAAUAAUUAAAAAGAGAAUAAAGAAUACAAAUUAAUUCCACACUCAACUCCCUCUGCAACUUUUUCUUCUCCUUCUCCAACUAGUCCACAGUCCACAUUCAUCUGGGUUUCUUGCGGAUAGUCUUAGAGAAAAUUUUGCAACUAUGAACAUCAAAUUUCAGAGUAAGAAAAAUUAAGUACCAAGGUAAGAGAGUAAUAGUAAUAAUAAUAAACACACAAGUUAAGAAAUAUGAUCAAAUGUACUAGUGUAUUAUAGCACAAAUGGCCCUUCAUUCUUCACUCCUUCUAGCCUCUCACGGACAACAAUGAAGGAAUGGCACUUAAGUUUGGAGCGUUGUUCUUAUUGGAAGCUUCUCUGAUGAUGUCUCUCUUGCCGUCUUUUGAAGGAGGCUUCGCUAAAGAUCUCUUUGGACUAGCGAAAGCCAAACCCCAGUUUCUGCUGCUUCCAUUAGCAGGAGGCCCAGCUGCAAACACAGGUGUUUGUUUCCCAUUGAUUUCUUCUGCUGAAGAUGAAACCCAAUGAGAUGAUGAUGAUGAAGAAUAUGAAGAUGAGGGAGUGAUCAUGAACCCACCAAAGAUGCCGCCACAUUUCGCUCUUUCUUUCAUGUUAGAGGUGGCUGCAGCAGGGAUCUUUAGCUUGCCUUCUCUCUGUGACUCUACUCUCCUAAGAGUGCAAUCUCCAAACCCAGUUGAGAUUCUCUCGAAGAAGUCACCAGAGAAGCUCCUGCUUCCACAUCCUACAGAUCUGGACCUUGAAACCUUCCUCUCAAAAGAUGAAGCAGAGGCAGUGGCUUGGCUAUUACGACAAUCAUCAUUUUCUACUUCCACGCUGCCUCCGUUACUGGACAAUGAAGAAACCAAGAACUUUUUCUUGGGCAUCACCAUAGACCCAUUAGUCGUCGUCGUCGUCGUCGUUGUUGUUACUGUCAAUGAUGACACCUUAUCUGUUUUCUUGGUAGUACUAGACUUGGAGGAAGAGUGAUAGAGAAAUGACCAGAAACCACCUCUUCUUCCUGGGCUAAAAUCCUCGCCAUCAUCAGUAGAAGCAUCCAACCAAAAAUGCUUUCUUCCAGGAGUCGUAGUAGAUUUGCUUCUCUUGAAAACAAUAUCACGAUCUGAUGAUGAUGAUUCGACCAUUAUUUUUUUCUUCUUUUUAGCCAAAAGAAAAGGGAUCCCGGCCCUCCUCGUGUAGUAUUCUUGAUAUUGGCUAUUAUUUCCACCAUCAUUUCUACCUUUUGAAGAUAUAGGACGCGCAGCAAGUGAAAGUGAAGAAGCACCACCACCACCACCACCGAUAUCAGAUCUAAAAGAAGAAGAAGAGGAGGAAGAAGAAAAAGAGGCACGAAUAGGUAAAGGAAGAGAGGAAGAAACCAACUUGCCAAGCUUUUCUUGAAGGCAAAAAGCACAGAUCCCACCUGGGUUGUUUCUAUAAGGAUGUUCACUGCAUUGCAUACCAUCACCUACGUAUUCACCAACACCAACGUUACCACCUCCACCAUCAACACCUCCUUUGAUUAUUCCAUCCAUCAUCAUCUGAAUCAACUGUUCUUGCAAUAGUAAUAGCUGAAUAGGCUUUCACUAGAAUUUUCGUUUCUUGAGUUGGAGAGAGAUGGGAGGAGGGAGAGAUGCAAACAAAAGAAAGAGCACAAAUGGUCAGGCAGUGUAGAAAAAAAAUUAAAUAUUAAAUAUGAAAUUAUAGAAAAAUAACCGAAGGGUAAAUAUAUAAAAAAUAAAUAAUUGAAAUAAAUCUGAGGGGAGCACGUGGAAUCUUGACUUGGAGUUUCUAACAAGGUUGGAAACAAAACAAGCAAUGAGCGGAGCCAAAAACCCUAAUACAUCCGAGGACCCCCUCAUAAACAAGAACCUCAGGCUCCAAGCCAAAAGACCCCUCCCUCUAUGUAAUUAUCAAUGCUAAGCUUAAUUGAAAUCAAAAGCUUAAUUGAAAUCAAACUGAAACUGGUAAUUUACUGCAGUGAAACCCACACUAGGGCUAAUUGAUUGCUAAAUUCAAGAACCCACAACCACAAUCUAGCUCUCUUUAAUUGUGCUGGCCAUUUUAGGCUGCCCAGAUAAAUUUCUCUUGUGUCUUAAAUAUUAAGAAGAAAAUAUAAAUGGGUAAUUGUAGAAACCUUUGGAUCUUACCCUGUGGGUUUAUGCUUGAGCUUACCAUAUUCAACUUUAGAUUCCAGAUUGCACAUGGAGAUCUUCACACAUUUUUGUCUCAUCUAAGGCCUCUGAGUCAUGAAUCUCAAGCGAGAGCUAGUCCAACCAUGUACCCAGAGCAUUUUCGUUGGAGUUCUUUUGUUAUUUAGUACGAAGGUGGUGGGCUUGUGGUACAGACAAGACCAUUUAGACAUGGCUGUGAUUCCAUUUUACUUGGGAUUAAUUAAAUUUAAUCCGGAUUAGUUUAGCUAAAAUGGAUCUUAGAUUAAAUUGACUUUGUGUAUAUGGAUGGACCAAUAAGAUAGUGAAGAGUCCCUAUAUCUUGUUGAUUGUCUAUUUGUGUAUAUUGUCCCUCUCUGCAUCAGAUUAGACCACUCAACCAUAAAACCUUAGCCACUAAUUUUUUUACUUUUUUUAAUCAAAAUUAGUAUGAUGAAAUCCAAAAAGCUUUGAACCCCCAAUAAUUUCCUACACAAAUGGGCCAAGAAAAUAUAAGCAUCGUUCAUACUAAAACAGUAUAUAUAGAAUAAUUUUUUAAAAAAAAUAAAAAAUUAAUACAUUUUAAAAAAUUGGUUUCAUGAGCGAAAUAGGUAUUUAUGGAUUGAAAGGAGACAAGACAGAGAGGCAUUAUGGAUAUUUAAGACAAUAGAUGGCAUUAGGGCACAAAGUGCACCAUCUCAUUAAUUAAAUGGCAGCUUAAAUUAGGGCAACUUUCAAGCAAUAAUUUGUUUAUUUCCGUGCACUGAUCAUGGACAGCUUACCCUUGAAAUACUGGAUAAUGACAAUUGACAAUCCAAGACAACCAGCUUUCUUUCUUUCUUUUAGACAAUUGAAGAAAUAACUUAUUUUAAAAAUAUAGAUUAUGUUUUUUUAUAAUAAUAAUAAUAAUGAAGAAGAUAAAACAUGUGAGAUGGAGUAGCAUGCAAUUUCUGUUCUUCAUUCCUGAUAAUAUCAACAUGGAGGGAGGGGACAUCAUCAUCAUGACUUUAUGAGUUUUACUUCUUACCUAAUUAAUAAUAUGACCAUCAUUUGUAUUUGGAUUUGGAUUCAAAUCAAAUUGGAAUUUUAAUGAUUUAGAAUCCAACUUUUUUUGAAAAAAAAAAAACCAUAAUUUGAUUAAUCCAAUUUGACCAUAUAAAAUCGAAUUUUCUAAUUGAAAAAAAACCUUAUAGUAUUCAUGGGCCAAAAUUGCUGGUUUCAGCCCAGACCGGCUUGUGGCUGUGGGCCAAAACAUCAUAAUGGGCAAGGCAGAGUGUUAAGGAAACGGUCUGUGUCUCCUUCUUAUGGGCCUUGGACUCAUGUUCUGUGCUUUCAUGUCCUAAUACAGCAAGAGAGAUAGAUCAAAUGGGUGGUGUAAAAUUGUAGUGGAAAGCAGUAUAAAUAAUCAACUGAAAAUGGUGAAAUUUCAACUUGGGAUAUCAUCCAGGAAGGCCUUUCCCAUGAUAGUGAACAAAUUUGAUCAGCCAGAAAUUAAAGAUAAACUUCACCUUCUGCUAACUAGAAAGAAACAAUUCAGACAUGCCAUUGAUGCAUAUUUCAUGUUCUCUUCAAUAACGUCUUCCCCAGGCCUAUACUCAUUUGGUGGAAAAGAUAAAAAGAAAUGAAAGAUGAGUUCUGAUAGCUUUUUCCUCUUCCUUAAUUAUUAAUUUCAUGGGAUUGUUGGGAUGAAGAUGAUGAGAUAAGGGUCUGAUAUUGCCACCCUUCUUCCAGCCCAUCAGAAAUGUUACUGCCAUUCCUGUAAAUUGCAUAGAGCACUAGCUGUGCUGCCCCAAGUAAAAAUCCAGCUCCAUUUGGUACCUACACAUACACCACAACAAUGCAUGAAAUUUUCACUUUAAAUAUUUUAUAAAUUUAUUUAUCAAGCUUUCUUUCUAAAUUAAGUGAUAUUUUGAGUGGUCCGUUAAUAAUUUUUCAGUCCCAAUCCACUUAAGGCCAGGUGUUUGGCAGUAGCGAUUGGCAGCCAAGAUUACUAUCAGCGUCCCGUAGCAAAAAUAGCCACGUUUCCAUUUCCUUACAAUGAUUAAUUCAUCUCAACUAAUAGUCAACCAUUGUAUCCAAAGCUUAGCGUUGGGUUAACAAAUUAGAGAGUUAGCUAAUAAAAUUGCACCUCCAUGAUCCCUUUGCUGAGAGAAACUCACUUACCCCAAGAAAAUAAUCACUUGUGAGAAAAGCAUACAAGCUCCAAAUCCCUCCAUUCAAGAAAAGGAAGAAGGAGAGCAGGAACGGCAUGUACUCCACACUCUUACUGCUAAUCACUGUUUUCUGUAAAGACAGACGUACGUUUGUGUUAGAAAGACAACCUCCAUCACAUGAAUCAAUGGUUUCUGAUCAUGAUUGUGUCCAGGACAAUAAAUUAUUUGAUUGUAAGGACCCCAAGAAUCAUGCUUCCACUUGUCCGAGAAUGAUCUUGUCUAGGUUUAAUGAAAGAUUUUUAACCUUUACAAAGAUCUGUGUCAACAUGCAAUAAGAGAUUAAUGAUGAUAACCUUAGUAUAGAAUUCAUAUUAUCUACAAUGAGAAGCAUGAGAACUGAAACUUUCAACCAUUGAGCUUCAGACCCAUCACCCACAUAUGUUAAAGUGAUAAAAACCACUCACCAUAGCAGCUAGAGGCGAACCAUACAUAAGAAUAUUGAGACCAGAACACAUGAACCCUGUCACAUUAAUCCGCACUUGUCCAUGCAACGCCAAGCCAGUAACCAGAACUGCUGCUGCUAAGAACCCCACAUCCAAGAUCCCAACCAGAAUACUUGUCUUAGCCUGCACCACCACGAAUUUGAAUCAUUUGAUGAUCCAUUUAUGGGAAUUGUUUCCGUUUCUGAUAUAACGUACCCUCAUUUUUGGUGGUGCAUAUACAAGGAAGAGAGUUACGUAUACGAUUUCCACCAGGAUUCCAAAACCAUUAACAGUAGCUACAAGGAAGGCUCCUGGUUUGAUGAUGCCAUAGUAGGUCCAUAAGGCUGCAUUUAGUAAUGUGCAGAUAUAAGGAAGACUGUCAAAGUCCUCAGUGGAUUUUCGCUUUACAAUUCUCCAAAAAGUUCUUCUGCAAAAUAAUCAAUCCAAGAGCUAAAAACCAGCUUAAACAGACAAUCAUAAUUAAGAAGGGUGAAGAGUUUUACGCUGGAGAAAGAAACAUGAGCACUGAGAUCACGUUGCCUGGAAAAAGAGAGAAGAAAAUCAGAAGUUGUAAUUAUGGUAAAAUUUUAGCAAGAAGAUUAUGCUUCCUCUUACCUAUCACUCCAAACACCAAACUCAAGAUUUCCAUUCUAUGAAAUCGGCGGUUUCCUUGAAUUCUCCAAAUGGAAAUGAAAAGAGAGUUGGUUAAAUGUGGAGAGAGAGAGAGAGAUUCUUUGUAUCAACAUGAGUCUUGUAAAUUUACUUGGAGAUAUUGAUUUUCUUUCCUGCCCAAAAGAAAUGGACUGCAUAACUUGCAAAAAUGUCAAUGAAUUUUUUCCUUUUUUGGGAAAUUAGAUUUUUAUUCAACAUGAAACUCGAAGUUUAAUUUUUACAAUUCUUCUAAUAUAAAUAAAUCCUAAAUCCUCAUUUUGUGUGUGGUUAAAAGGAUGACAGCAACCUUUAUGCUGAAGCAAUGAAAAUCAAUGUGGAAUUGCAUAUGACACAAAAAGAUUAUUGAUGAGUAAAUAGCUUAAAUAAUUGUAUGUAACUUUCAUACACAGUAUUUGUCACACGUCUAAAUUUUUUAUUGGUAAAGCAAAUUAAUUAUGAUUAACUCUUGUAAUAUUGUAUUCAUUACAAUUAAUUAAAUAUGGUUGUUUAUUUAUUAUUAUAAUAUCAAUAAAUAAAAUUAAUAAUAAAUAAUUGCAUUUGAAUAAAUAUUAACAAGUGUAAUAUUAUGGAUUUUGUGGAAAAUGAGGUUGUUAAACAAACUCGGAAGACUCGAGCAAGAUGAGGUGGGCAUUGGGAACCCGAAAUGUAAUUAAUAAUGUGGGCCCUGAAUUAUUUGAAUUAUGAAUCACGUGCCUUCUUGAAUUGAAAGAAACCUCUGUUUCUGUACUAUUGGUCCAGGAUUAUUGGGACUUUUGUGGUGGGUAUCUUUUUUCUUCAAUAUCACUUUAUUUUGCUCUCUCACUCUAAUUUUCUUUUUCAUGUUUUAUUUUUCUAUCGCUUAUUUAUUUAAUUAAUCAUAUAAUGAAAAUUUAAAAUCUCUCUAGUAUCCGAUAUGACCUUUCAUGAAAAGAAUGCGGGGCCUAUUGUGUCGGAUAGGCCCAAUUCAGAUUCGAUCGCAAGGAAAAUCUGUUAAGACUUUGGGAUGUUGAUUUCAAUAGCAUCCUUUAACAAUAAAGAUACCAGAUCGGCCCCAAAUGGAAAAGCAAAGAAUAUCAAACGGUGAGAAUUCAAUUUCCUGAAAAUCACGCCCUACAUACUGCUGAUUCCGAUUUUCAAACACGCUACUGAAUCCAAACUAGCUCACACACGCAUCCAUCUAAAACCCAAAAAACCACUACCCAAAAAAACUCUUAACUCCAGCCUAAAAAACCGGUACCCAAAAGACCUCAACUCCAACCUAAGGCCCAGGCUCCAAACUAGCUCACACACCCAUCCACGACCUACGCAGCACCACCCACAAAACCAGUCAAAUCCAACCUAAGGCCCAGGCUAUAUGAUGUUCGCACACUAAUUCUGCUUUUUAUCUUUUGAUAAAAGAUAAAUGUGCACACACACGUUGAGAUAUGCAAUAAUUCAUUUUCUAGAGGCUAAAGCCAAAGUAAAUUGUAAGACCCGCUUUCAGUUUUUUGACAUUCUAAUUUAAUCAUGCGGGGCGUUCGUUGUUAUUUUCACAGGCAGCAGCAUAAUCAAAAGAUCAUCGUAUCUAUUUAGACAUAACCAUAUAAAAAAUAUUAUUUAAUAUCUAAGCUCUCAUUUCUUAGGUAAUCCUUAUUGUCUACAUUUUUCCAUGUUAUACAUUAUUAAGCUACUAGCUUAGCAUUCGGAAAAGGGAAGAGGAAAAAAGAUUCAAGAAAAAUGAGUCCCCCAAUCCAAUGGUCACAUUAAUCUUACAACCGAGAUUUUGCUUGUUCCACUGGAGCACUCUGCAACAGGACAGUACAAAAAACAUCAUUAGAGAAUUGCAAUAUACACAACUUCUGACUUGUCAUGGCUCAUAGAUCCCAUUUUGAAUGAUCAAGGUAUACACAACUUGCAUGGUACGGAUAGUUAAAAAGUUACGUAGGUAGAGAAAAUAUCUAGAAAGUUGAAGGAUCAAAAUUAAAUGUUCAGAAUUCAUGAUAUUAGCAACUUCUGUAAUUUAUUGUAUGAAACGGUUGCCUAGACAAUCAUUUCAUCAAUUGGAGAAGUUUCUCCCAACCAAGCUGGGCAAACUCAAGUGAGCUUGUUGCAAAGCGGAAAAUCAGUAGCAUAACUGCCAAAGGUGAGUCCUAGACAAAUGUACACCUUCAUAGGCAUAGAAAAAACUGCCAAGUCUUCUGGUGCAUCAUAUAAUGGGUUUAUCUUUCUUGUUAUUCCAAAUGUAAAAUCAAUAAACUGUAAGUUUUAGAUAUCUCACCAGUGGAGCACCCUUGGCAGCUCUUUCAGCCAAGAAAUCACAGGGCUUAAAGAAUUCUCCGUACAUCUUUGACCACUCCUCCAGUCUUGAAUUUAUAUAUUUUGAUCCAAGAGAAUCAGCCCAGAACAAAAUGCCUCCCCUGAUGCAAACAAAAUCAAUAAAUUAGAGAUGAUAAGCUCUCAGGGAAACCUCUUCUGCUAGGGGAAGAACACAGACCUGUAAAAAGGAAAUCCCAUGCCCAUAACAGAAGCAAUAUCCAGGUCUGCAGCUUUAACAGCGAUUCCUUCAGCAAAGACUCGGCAGGCUUCAUUCACUACUGGGAAGAAUAUCAUCUCCACAAUGUCUUUUUCAGGUAACUUAGCAAGCUGCAUCAAGGAUUAAUCCCACAGAAUGAGAGAGAGAGAGAGAGAGAGAGAGAGAGAGUCCUAUGCCAGACACUUCUAUAUUCUUUUGCUAUUCACAAAUCAAAAUUUUCCAUUUUUCAGCAUUAGAUACAAGUAAAGCAUCAAGCUGAGGAAAGCUGGUAGAGAAGAACAAUUGUUAUGCAGAGAAUAGGAGAGGAAAGACACCUUGGGGUCAAUGGUAGCACCAGAAAUGCUUCUUGCCUUCUCAAUGUAUUUCCUUAAUUCAGGAUCUGGACUAGCUUUGCGCUUGUCAUCAUACAAAUAGAACCCUUUGCGAGUAGUUUCCCCUAUUAUAAUCGCAUGUAAAAUGAAAUGCUCAAAACACAGUUUUUGUACAAUUGUUACUGACAAGUAGUUUCCCCUAUAAUAAUCACAUGUAAAAUGUAAUGCUCAAAACAAAGUUUUAACACAAUUGUCAUUAACCAAGUUAGAGCAAGUCUCUAAAGUUCAGCGGCUACAAUUCUACCCUCCACUUAUAUUUGUGUUGACUGUUGAGGAGAACCAUAGAUUACAAAUGGAAGAAAGACUACCUGCUCUCUUGUCCUCUUGCAUUAGUGGGAUCAGCAUUGAUUUAUAAGUUCGCUCAGGGAAAUUCUCAACAAAUUGCAUGCCAGUUGCGAUUGCCACACCAAAACCAACCAGAUCACACAACCUACAUCACAAAUGAAGUAUUGAACUUGUUCAAUGGGAGGAAUCAGUGAAGCCACAUCAGCUUAAGAUGCAAUAAAUUCAGUUUAUGAAUAUUUCUGUCUCCAGUUAAAAUGCGAGAAAAGAUAGAACCAUGUUUUUUCCAUUGUGUAAAGUACCGGAAUGGACCCAUUGGCAUUCCAAAUUUGGUGAUUGCCCUAUCAAUCUGAUAAAGAUCCAUCCCGUGUUCAACUAGCAAAAUAGCAGCUUGGGUGUAGGGGAAAAACAUCCUGUUGACAGCAAAUCCUGUGCAAUUUCCAACUACAACAGGAGUCUUCUUUAUUUUCUUUCCAACAUCUAGUAAAUCCACAAUUACUUGGGGUGACGUUUGGUUGGUACGAACAAUUUCCAAGAGUGGCAUGACAUGAGCCGGACUGCAUCAGGAACACAACUAAAGGGUUGAGCUAAAAUGAAAAGUAGGGGAAAGCUCUUAUUUUACACACACAAAUAACCACUCAAAAAAUACAGGAAGACAGAGAGAUGGAAGAUGUUACCUAAAGAAAUGAGCUCCAAUAAUCCGAUCCUGGGACAUGGUCCUCUGGCCAAUCAAAUUCAAGUCAAUUGUGGAGGUGUUGCUGGCAAGAAUGCAAUGUGGUGGGCAAUAUUUUUCAAGAUCAGCAAAUAUUUGUUGCUUCAAAGAAACAUUUUCAAUAACAGCCUGUUACAAGAACCAAAUACAAAUAAUUGAGAUGAAAAUUGUCUACUUUCAGAAUAAUAAAAAAUAAAAAUAUUAUAACAAAUCAUCAAACAUUCCAUUUUACCUCAAUGACCAUAUCCACAUCUUUGAAGCUUUCAUAAUCAAGAACACCCUUAAGAAGAGAGAGGGUCUUUUCAAACUUCUCUUGAGACAUUUUUCCUUUCUUGACACGGCUUUUUAGGUUGGCUGAGCAUAAAGGAAUAUUUUAUCAAAACCAUAUAAAUCCAAAAAGCAUGCCAAAAAAUAAUAAUUUGAAAUUACACAAUAGUCAAGUACAAGCAAAUAUCUUAAGAGAAGCCCAAGACAUCACCUCUAACUCUAUCGAUUCCAGCUAGCAAGAACUUUUCAUUUACUUCUUUCAGAAUAACCUGGUAAUUACUAAGGAUCAAUGCAGUUGCUAUGCCAGAACCCAUUAGUCCUCCACCAAGCACUGCAACCUUGUUCACUCGUCUAGGCAUCAAGCCUCUGUCAGUAACUCCAGGAACCUAUUCAAGAUUAAAGGAUAACAAAUUAAUUAAUUUACAUGGUGAUAUUAGUUAUCAUGAUGGCAAAAUCUGAUUUAGCAUUGCAACUCCAAGGAAGUGGAAAUGAACAACCAACAAUUCCAUAAGUGAAACUGCACAGAACCUUUGUGGUUCCACGCUGAGCAAAAAAGAUGUGGACCAAGCUCUUGCAGGUGUCAGAACGAACGAGUAUUUGAAAUUCGUCAGCCUCCUGCAAACGUCAAAAGUUUUAUCAGACAGUUGCCCUUAGCUGCUACUAGAAGCAACAAAAAGAAUAUAGAAGAUGGAUCAGAACCUUCCAGAGUCCAGCUCGAGGACCAGAAACUAUACCCUCUUCAACGACAUCGAUGCAAACUAAUGGAUGUUUGAGAUUAGGAGCCUGUUUCCGAGCUUGUGCUCUUGCAAACUUGAAAAUCUCCCUCGCUUCUCCAAGGGAAUCUAACUUGUCAGUCUUGUAAAGGCUAGCAACCCAGGGCUUUCUACGCUCCAAGAUAUCAAGGGCCCAUUGACGUGCAGUGCUCACCAACUCAUUAGGUGAAACUACAGCAUCUACAAGCCCCAAAGAAUGAGCUUCUUGCCCUUUGACUGGUUUUGAUGUCUACAUCAGAGAGAAUAGAAUAGAGAUAAGUUUAUGACAAUCUAGCUACAAUGUAAACCUGUAGAAGAUGCAAUGAUCAAGCUAUAGAAAAAUCUAGCUAGAACAUACCAACAUCAUUUCAAGGGCCUUUGUUAUACCAACAAGACGUGGAAGUCUCUGUGUUCCUGAGUCGAUUCAGUAGAAGAAGAUUAAAAGGAAAGAAAAUCUCAGUUAAGCAUGAAAUCAAUACCAAAGUCUCAUCUUGUAAAUGUAGAUUAUAUCUUAUGGAAAAAAGUAGCGACAAUAUGGAGCAGUAAAAUAAUUUAAAUAUGUUAGACCUUUAUUUAUUUAAUAUUCAGUUCAAUGCAUGGUGAUACACGUCCAACUUAUGACAUUAGAUUAUAUCAAUUACAUAUGCAUUGAGACAAUAAACAGGACCAAGAUUUGAGCCUAUAACCAUCAAACUACAUCAACUAUAUAUGCAUUAAGACAUUAGGGAGGAGAAGCACAAUAAAAAGCAAUUCCAGCAGUCUUCCAUAAAUAGGGAACAUAAUGAUCAGGCAUACCUCCAAAUCCAGGAAUUAUUCCAAGUUGAAGUUCGGGCAGACCCAGUUGUGCUGUGGGUGUUGAGAUACGAGCAUGACAUGCCUGACAUAACAAUUCAAUUAAAUUAUCUCAAGAAUUUGAUCAAAAAAGCUACCAGAUUGAAAUAGAUAGCAAUACAUACCAUUGCAACCUCUAAUCCUCCACCUAAGGCAAGACCAUCAAUGGCAGCAACUGAAGGCUUUCUUGCAGCUGGAGAACAAAGCAAGCAGACAACUAGUCAGCACAUACCAAUGCAAUUUUUUCAGAAAAUGCUUAAGCCAAUGUGAACAAAAAUAAAACUGUAUCAGGACCUUCUACAGUGUCCGUUAGAAUCUCCACAGCUAUAAAACCAGGCUUUGGUUGAUCCACUGAGAAAACAUAAUUUGGACAUUACUGAACUUGCAAUUAUGCAUUGCUAGAGUAUAAAACAUAUAAUACGUUACAUGUACCAUUUCCCCUUUGAAUUCCACCAAAUGCAGUAAUAUCAAAGCCACCAGAGAACUUGCCCUUUGCACCUGCACCAUUGACAUGACAUGUUAGCUUCACAUCCCAUAGACCCACUUGAACUCAAAAAAUGGUUGACAAGCAUCCACACAAUAUAAGCUUUUUUAUUUGAAAUAUAAGCCUUUUUUUAUUUGUAACAGCUUCAAACACACCUGUGACAACAAUUGCCUUCACAUCAUCUCUUCUCAAGGCUUCGUCAAAACUAUCUUUCAAGCUAUUUAGAACUGCAAGAAGACCAUAAGAGGAAAAGAGUAAUAAGCCCAAUGUCUAGUCACAAUUAUGGAAAAUAUCAUCGUUUCCAAAAAGGUGUAAAGCAUAAACGAAGGGAAAAAAUAAACAAAUAAAAACACUGAAGCAAGCCUAAGCAAUUGUCUGAUUGUUGUCAAAUUUUAGAACAACAUAGCCAUUGGAUCACCCAAAGCCAUAAACCCAAAAUUUUAAGACCCUGAUCAAGUAACGGACUUUUAGCUUAUCGGAGGCAAGGAGUACAACUUCUACUGAGAACAUGAAGUUCAGUGAUAGUAAUCUAAAUGGGCACCUUUUAGCCUAUGAAUAUUCCUUAUCAAAUUUUAUGGAACUUAACAACCCGAUCCACCAUAUUAUCCAUCCAUCAAAUUUCCUAUCAUUUGAGCAUAAACACAUUCCCAGAGGCACUCAUAAUCCUGUCAAAUCAAAUACACCCAGAAUAGAUCACUGCAUAUGAAGCUAUCUUAUUGUGAUCUCCAGAGCCAAUCUCUUCUCCCAAUCAAUGACCAUCUAAUCCUUGAAUCAAAUAGCAGGGCAAUGUCAAGAAGAUCAAAAAUCACCAAAACAAAAGCUAACUCGGCUGUGCUUUCAAAAGCUUUGCAGGGAAAUAAAUCCCACAAAGACAACGCAAACAGCUAAAUAAUACAUGGCUGAAAGCUCGCCGAAUAAAAAUUAAGAAAGGAAAGUCGAUUAAGCUUCACUAUGAAAACAAGAGCUCAUGAAAUGAACUGAGUAUAUAAAGAUCUGGGCAAAUAANNNNNNNNNNNNNNNNNNNAAAAAAAAAAAAAAAAAGAGGGUACCAUCGAAAGAGAGAGAAUUAACAGGAGGAUUGAUGAUGGUGAUGACCGCUACACCAUCAGCUCCAACAUCAAUGGUGGUUCUCCCCUUAGCAGCGCUUCCCAUGGCUUCUGUACUGAGUGAAAAUGGAAGAAUGGGAUUUGGAAAUGGAUAUUAGUUAGUUGUUGAGAAUGAUUUAAAGAGGGGAUGAAGAAAAGAGAGACGUGCAAGGCUCGGCUGAAUGACGCUUGUAAGGUGUAAUGUUAGGAAACGCACCUUGUAGAAUUGCUAUGAGAUUUAUACAAUUGCAGUCGCCGCUGUAUGAUAUUAUUAUGUAUUAUUUGUCUUCUAAUUUGGAUAAGCGCUUAUGCUCCAGCUCAAUUGCUUUCUGUUGAGCGUGUGGCACACUCGCCUAAUUCUUCCCUUUUUCAUGCAGCUCCUCCUCCUCUUCCCUUGUUUCUAUCGCACAAAUGCUGAGAACGUUGGUGGCCAACUCUUUUAUUGGCCGAAUAUACUAUUUGAUGAUGGAUUUUUACAUUAAAAAAUCAUUUACAUAUUAUAUAAAUAAUGUUUAUUAAUUUCAAAUGGCCAUAAAAAUACCCACCAAUAAAAAGUAUAAUUGAAAAGUAAUUUUUUUUAUUUGAAAAAUAGAUGAAAAUAAAACGAGUAAGGAAAGUAAAUGGUUGUUUUUUCUUUUGUAUAAUCUUUUUAAUUUGGCGAGAAAAAUGGGGAGAGAUUGGAGGAAAAUUAUACUAUUGAAAUUAAAUUACACGUCAUAUAUAAUUCAAAUGUAAAAGUAAAGGGAUGAAAUAGUAUAUUUUCUUUCUUUUUAUAUUUUUAACUUUUCAACUAAAGGAAAAUAAAAUUAUUUUAAUUUCUUUUAUUUUUAUUUUCCUUCUAUUUGAAUAAAAUAAUAAAAGUAAAAAGUUUUUCUCUCUUAUUUUUUUCCUCCCUUUAUAUUUUGCCAAAUAUAGACUACAAGUUUUGUCAUAAGAGAUUAUUGAAAUUAUGUAAAAUUUGUUAAUUAUUUUAUACUUUAUAUUAAAAUGUAAUUAUAUAAUUUUAUAUUAUAUAUAUAUUGUAUUUUAAUUUUAAUAUUUUUAAAUAUAUAUAGGAUAAUUAAAAUGAUAAUUAAUCAAGUAUUUUUCAUAUUCUAUCGUAUAUUUUUAAAUAUUCUAUUUAAUUAAAUUUUAAUAAAAUGGAUUUUGAUAUUUAUAAUUAAAUUUUGAUAAUACUAUUGUGAGUUUAGAGUUUGAGUUUAUUUAUAAAGUAUUAGCUAUUUAAAUUUAUUUAUAUAAAUAAUUAAUUUAAUUUAAAAAAUAUAUUUUAUACUAAUAUUUAUAAUUUUUUUAUAUAUAUUUUUAAAAAAUAAAAUUUAAAUAUUUUUUUUAAAUAUUAAAAUUUUAAAUAAAAAUUAUUAAUAAAAAAUAUUUUAUAUAUAAAUUAUUAAUUAAAAUAUAUAAAAUUAAAUAAUUUUAAUUAAUUUGAAUGAAUUCAACUGCAACUAAAAUAAAUCAGAUUCAAAUAAUUUAAUUUUUAUGAGCAGCUUAUUCAUUUACUUCCCUAAUAUGUCUACAGUGUUAAAAAAAUACUGUACAUGGAAGAUUCAUUUCCACGCGCUUACCUUAUGAUUUAUGGCGAUACCAACUUAACAGUACUUUUUGUUAAAAUAUCACCUCGAAGUUUUAAACAUCGCCUCCAAGUUUCAGAAAAAAAACACAUUUCAUUCUUUAAAAAGUAAUUAUUAUAUUUAAUAAAAAUAAAUUAAAAUUUGAAAAAAAAAUAAUUAACACUUAUUAAUUUUUAAAAAUGACAAAUGCGAAGUAUAAUUCGGAAUAAAUAAGAAAAUAUGUUUUUUUUAAGAAGAAUAAACUAUUUAUUGUUAUAUGGACGGGAGUUAGAAAUUUGAUUGAUGUUUUCAAAGUUCACAGAUCCCUAUGCUAUCUUUUUAGAACUCAUUUCGAUACAUGUGCCCAUAAAUCAAUAACGGAUAGGUAUUAAAAAUCACACUAUAUUUUAAAUAAAAGAAAAUAAAACAUUUACACUCAAUUAUUUUUAUUAGUUUUUCAAAGAAUGCAACACUAAAAUUUUUAACUUUUGUUAAAUUAUAUUAUUGCAUUAUUUUAAAUAUAAUAUUAUAUAAAUAUUAAUAACAGGAUAUCUGUUGCGCUGCUGGUAAAGGUUUUUUCUGUUAUGGGUCGUGGGCCUUCUUGUAUGGGCUUUUGAAUUUCCAAUAUAUAUAUUUUUUUUUUUGUUAAACGAGAUCUUGGGAAAACUACCUGCAUCCAACGACACCGUUCUACUCAGCCUCCCCACUCCCAAAAACUAAAAGAAAUUCCCGCGCAAGUGCAACCAAAGCCCUCCAAAUUUCUUCCAUCCCUUCAUCAAAAUUCCACACACAAGAUUUCAUCCGUAGAUAGAGAUCAAUCAUGGCCACCGCCUCCACCAGCGGUAGAGACGAAGACCCGCCGCCGCCACUAACCGAUACCGAGAUCGUAAACCUAGCCCAUCAAAAUAACCUCCACGCUUACCUUCUUUCAACGUCUUCCCACACUACUGUCCUCUCCUACCUUCACACCCGUUCUCGUUCUCUCACUCCUUCAAUCGCCGUCUCCGAGUAUACACUCUCUCUACUGUCACUCAUUUCUCUCUCUCCGUAUCAUCCUUCUCUAUCUUCCUUACUCUCCUCUCUCCUCUCUACAUACACCCAUCUCUUCCUUUCUUUCCAAAUACCACAUGACCCCAAUUCCCUCAAAACAAUUAAUCUUUUCGCCACCCUAUUAAACUAUGUCCCUGUCAAGGAGCUUGAGUCCAUAGUUGAGUCAAUUGUAAUGGGUUUGUCAAAAUUAUUAGGUUCUGAAGAUACCCAGAUACUUGAUAUUCUUCCGGGUUGUUUUAGCUGCUUGUGUGUUGAAAAAGGAAAGGAAUGUGUGAAUUUGAUGUUGGAUAGGAUAAUUGAGAGUGACUGGUCAAAAGGAUUGUUGGUGAAGAUGGUUUUUCUCUCAAGGGAACUUGCAGGAUUUAUUGAUAAGGUGAGAGCGAGGGAGCUGUUGGAGAAGGUGUUCAAGGGAAUGAAGAGCGUGGACUUACAGGACUUGCCUUUGCUUUCAUAUCAGUUAUUGGUUUUGGCGUCUAAAGGGUUCAAUAAAAGGGAAGUGAUUGCUGGGAUUAUGAGGUUUUUUGGGUCUGAAUUGGUAUCAAAAGCAAGUUCCACCAUUAGACAAGUUGAAGGGACUGUUUUGCUUCAUGUUAAUUUUGCUGUGAAGCAGGAUCCCUCUCUGGGGCAGGAGGUUAUAGGGCUUGUGAAAUUGGACCCCAAGGCUCUUAAUCAUUUUGCUGUGGCUGUUUUAUUGUCUGUUGCAAAAGUUAGGAAGUUUAGUGAGAGUUCCAUGGGGAUUUUGAAAGCUUCAGUUCUUACAGCUUAUAGCGAUUAUAAGUUUUCCAGGUAAGGAUUAUCCCUUUCAAAUUCCUUAAGUUAAAAAUAUCAAGCUCUGUGAAUAGUUGAUAUGAUAGCUGUUUCCCCUCAUGCUGCAAGACAAUAAAUUCUUGCUUGUAGGCUUUAGUAACCGUGCAUCAAGUGUUUGUGUAUUCAUUGUCAAUUUACCAUCAAUGGCUUUCUUGUCUUAGCGUGAAUGAAGACCAGCCUGAAGCAGCGGAUUAUUGUCUUUAACUCCAUUUCAAUCUGAAAUAGGCUGAUUCAUGUCAAUAAAGCUGUUAAUUUUGUUAGUUACUCUAUUUUAGUAGUUCGUCAGUGUUGACAUUUUUCCCUUUCCACCAAUCUAACAUUCUAAUGUUACUUUGUUUUGGAACGUUUGCCUAACUUUCAGGAACUGUCUGUGGUUACCAGAUGAUUCAAAGAAAGAAUAUCUGCAAAAUGUCCAAAUCAUGGAGAAGUCUAUAUUAAGAGCUGUUAGUUUCUUUUACCACACAUCAAUCAGUUGGUAUGUGUUGGAACAUUUUUUUCCAAUAUAUAUAAGGCGAGCUUAUUUGUCUUCAGGUUAAUGAGAGCAACUAUGGAAGGGAGCAUAUUGUUCCUACCAUUGUGCAGUUUAGCUUUGCUUUGCUAGAGUCAUCGGAAGGGGGAAAGCAUGGAGACCUCUGCAAUUUUGAUGGUCUGUUGGGAAUUGAAGAGCUUAGUGUUCAGAUGCUGAAAAUUUUAUUUGAUAUCCACGACAUGGCAAGAAAUGAGGUUGUUACAACCUGCUUAAGUAAAUGUUAUCUGUUAUCUUCAGUUUUUUCUCCUCCAUUGCUUCUUAUUUUCUUUUGGCAGGCUCCUCUAAUGUUGAUAUGAAUUUGAGAACAAAAAAAAUCUUAAUUUGCAAGUAUUCCUACUUCCUUCAAUUAAUUUUGUGUUGGGAGUUAUCUCCUCUUGGCUAAUGAAGAGUAUCCAAAAUUCAGACAAAUUUGCCAAGGAAUUUGUCUUUGGCUAAUUAACUAGUGUUACAUGAAUAUAAUGUCUAAGCGCAACAAUAGUGAUUUGCCAACAUGUUUCAGAUCAUUGAGCAGUGCAAGUUGCGCAUCCUUUCUUUGAAGCCAGAGCAAAGCAUGUCAGUCAUAAGGUAACUGCAAGGCACUUAAAUAUCAAACUUUUUAUGAAGUUUGUGUGAAAACUUUGGUUGUUGAACUUUCUUUGCAGACUGGUAUUUUCUCUGGUUCAAAGUUAUCCUUACCCAGUGUUGGAACAUGUUUCUCGUCUGAAGGAAUUAUUAGAUUACUUCACUUUUGUCCGUGGGAAUGUUGCCUCAUAUCUUGUUGCUGCUCUAGCUCCUCUAUUCAAAUUUAAUCGUGAUCUUCGGGUAAAUGCUUCUCAUGUAAAAACUGCAAAAUAAUUACAUAAAAAUACUUGACGUUUAAUUGGUUCUACAAAUUUACAUGCCUAUUUGUUUCUAUAUCCAACAAUCUGGUGAUGAAACUACUCAAAGUUAGAUUUAUGGUGUACAAUUUUUGAAGAAUUUCUAAAUGCUUUCUAUUCAUUUGCUAUCUUAUUUCAACUCAUUGAAGUAGUAAUGUCAUGAUUUCUCACAAUGCAGGAUUAUACCAUUUUGGUUGUUCGUAAGGCCAUGUUUAGAAAAGAAGAUGCAGUUCGUCUUGCAGCGACAAAUGCUACUAUUAGUGUUCUAUUGGCAGAAAAACAAUCCACAAGAGAUGGCCUAUUCUCCUUUCAAGACUCAUCAAGCCAAGCAAGUUGCAGCCAGAAAGCUGAAAUACCCUGUGGCUAUUCUGGAGGUCUUUUUCAAGAGUUGAGUGGUUUACUACAAAGAUGUCUUUAUCUGCAGGUUACAUCUUUGUAUUCCUUUUUUAAGAUGGGGUGUGUUUUCACUCAAAUUUGCUCUUGUCAACUGUCUAAACUGUCAGAUCAAUUGCUGUCUUCAGGCAAAAGCGAAGAAAGCCAUGUAUCAUGGUCUUUUGAGGCUUGUCUUGGCAGAUCCAGCAAGUGGGGGAGCUGUAUUUGAUUUCCUCUUGCCUCACUUCCUUCAUUUUUUCAAGGAGGUAGUUAGUCAAUUCAUAUUGGAGUUAUUUGUGAAUAUCAUCUUAAAGUGGACACCUUGACUUAGCUUGUUUUAUAUGUAGGUUCUUACUUCUUAAGCAAUCCGGUUUUUUAACUAGUAUAUAGAAGUAAUUAAAUUCUGUGCCUAACAUUGGAACCUGUUAUUAACAGGAUGAUGUUGUUCAACUUCAAAUUGGUAGCUGUGUUAAAUCAGAUGGUGGCCAAGUUGUCAUUGAAGAGCCUCUGGAUUGUCUUCUAUCUUGUGUUUCUUGGAUUUUGCUCCUUCAACCACAUGAUAAAGCCAGUAAUCCAGAUUCCUUAGGGGCAUGUUUUGGUUUCUCCCUUUCUCAAGAGAACGAGGUAUUAUUAGUUUCAUGAAAUUGAGUAGAUUUGUUGGGAAAUGUUAAGGCAUGAAGGUUUAGUUACAUUAUAUUAUUCAAUUGCUGCAGGUAGGAAGACAUCUGUCCGGUGAGGCAUUCUCCAAGGCAUUCUUGCAGAUUCGAAAAUUUCUAAAGAAGGGAAAUUUGGAAGGUUUGGGACGUUUAAAAUUUAGCACUAUAAUUCCUUAAUUUCUUUUGAUACACUGUCAGGCUUUUGCAGAGAAAGUGUAAAUGAUUUAUAAGGGUUGUAUAUUUUCUAUUUACGGUUGAAUGUAAUAUAAACUACAUAGAUAAGGGUUAGUUUUCAUUGGCGGCCUCAUGUUGUGGCUAGAAAUGAUCACCUUUGCUGGUAAACUAUUUGGUAUUUAUGUGUACGAUUCCUUUAUAUGUUCGCUUUCACUUUGAGUUCAUGAAAUCUAGAAGAUAACGUUAAAUUUUGAAAAUGAGUUUUUCUUUCCCUGAAAACAGCUAACUUUCUUGUCUGGGAAAACAUUUCUUUCACCAUUUUUUUAAAAAUGUCACAACAUCGGAAAAUUAUAUAUAUAUAUAUAUAUAUAUAUAUAUAUAUAUAUAUGUUUCCUGGAACAUUUUCCUGGUACAAAUUAAGCUUUAAUAUUUUUGAACUUUUUUGGGGUUUAAGGAGUCUUUCUUUGGUGAAAGCAUGUGCGAAAAUGUAUUUUCUGCGGAUGAAAACUCUUGCUUAUUAGUUUCCCUCUCUUCAUGUCAGAUCAGACAUUCUUAGUGCGACACAGGGUUCUGGUUCUACAUCUGUAGAAGAAGAAAAUAAAAAAUGCCGAGCAUUGAUUUUAUCAGGCAUUAUUGAGGUGGUAUUGAAUACUAUUGCUACUGAAUUGGAGAAAGCGACGGAUUUGAACAGGGAAGAUCUUGAAAAGGAAAUUCUUGAGUUCGUAAAUUUUAAUGAGUCACUGGAAAAGUAUACUUGUGCAAAGCAGAGUUCUGUCAUCAGAAGUCAGAACGUACAAGCUAAUGCGCUUGAAAUACCUUAUCUUAGUAAUAAGGGAUUGACUCAAGAAUGGAUUCCAUUCUUUGCAACUUCAAGUCUCUGUCAGCUAAUGAAAACAGCAAUAAGUCUACACAAUAGUGAACGCUCUCGAAGUUCUGCAGCUUCCCAAAACCAUAGCCAGUUGCCCUCAAGGGAGACAUCGAAAUGCUUUAAGAUUAUUCGUUUUGUCUUGAAUAGUUCCCUUCAUCACAUAAGAUCUUACUGCACUGGAAGAAAAGAAGAACCGUUGAAGACUUUAAUAUAUGGGGAAAUCAAUUUAAUGGGUCCUCCUUUGCUGAAACUAAUUUGCUUGCUUAAUUCAGGACCAAAGCUUGCAACAGAUCAGAAAAAGGAAAUGAAGGGGAAAAAGGAUGUUGAAGGCGGAAAGGAGCACCUUCACCUAGCCUUAAUCUGUUUGAAGGAAUUGAUUACAAUUAGUUUGAAAAAUUCACACUCAACUAGCUUGCUUGAAGAUUUGUUGUCAGUAUCUACUCUCAAGUAUGAGAUCGAUGAAGAAGAUGAAGAAAUUUCCAGGAUUGCUGAUCAACAGAUAAGAAUCAAGAUGAAUUUCAUUGUCAAAAUUCUGAGGCCACUGAUCACUGAGCUUCUAGCACAAUCAUCUUUUCAUGAGAUCGAGGUACAUUCAUUAUCUGUGCCUCAUUUGAUCCAUCUUUCUUGCUGAAUUUUAUUAAUUUCCAAAGAUAACACCAUUUGAAGUGUCAUUUUGAUUGUCAGAUUGUCUGUGAGAUGUUAUUGUUGGUUUGUGAGAAAUUGCCCUCCAGAUGGAGGAAUUCUAAUGGGUCCUGGAGUAUUCAUCUCUGCAAAAAGAAUGGUGGCAUUAGAAAUUCCAAGGUUGCUAGAAGGGUUGCUGAACUUGCAAUUUCUUUAAGCUCACCACCGGAUGAUUUAGUUGUAGCUCAAUACAUGGCUGAGGAACUACUGCAUGUCAUUGGAUCGGAGAGGAACACCCAAAUAGAGAUGACUGAAUCUUACACCAUAAUAAACCAGUCGACAAGCACUGCUAUAAGUUCAUGCAUACUAAAGUUAAUUGAAGCAGUUAUCACUGAUAUGGAUUGGGCCGUGAAAAAACUAAAGAUGUUCUCUCUGGUAUUGCAGAAAAGCAUUCAUCUUAGUCAGAAUGGAGAAGAGGUUUCUGAAUUCCUGGUUGAGGAUAAUCUUUACUUGAGGGCUGAAGCAGUGGUGAAAGUACUAUCUUGCUUUGUUUUGAUGAGGCUUAAGGGUAAAUAAGCAGUUUGCAUGGACAAAUUAUUCUGUUGUAUAUACUGUUCCGUGUCCAAGUAUUAUAUAGUUUUACUGUUAAAUAAUUAUAUGCAGAUCCCCAAGCAGAGCAUUUUCUGAGAUUGACUGCAAAGUUUUACAAGCACUUGGCUCAGAUUUCAAGACUCAGAAUUGCUCCAAAAGGAUGCAAACAACUCAUCCCUUGUCCGACUUUCCAGAGGCUUGUGGAAAUAACCUGCAAGCAGCUCACAGUUCCUCUUUAUAAAUUUGUUGCGGAAUUACAAAGGGUAUUUUGGUUCUGUCACCACCUGUAAAAGUAACAUAAACAUAGGAUAUGUGUUUUUCUUUCAAGAAAUUCUUGUUUAUGGAUUCUAUUUAAUGGGAUUUGCAGGAACAACAAGAAAAUCCUAAUACUAAGGGUAUCAUCAACAAGAUCAAGAGAGAGAAUAAAUGUAUUCCUGAUCUGAUUUUUCAGAUAGAAGAUUAUGAGAAAUAUCUCAUCCGGCUCAGCAAGGUGAGCAAAGUGAAUUUACUGAAGCAUGCCAAGCGUAGCACCUCUAGGGAUUUCAGAAUAUUAGAUAAGAGGAACAGUGGAGAAGAUGCUCCAAAUAGCCAUGAGGCUGCCAAUGACAAUGAGGGUAGAUUACAUGAUUCAGAGGACAAUGAAUCAGAAAGGAUUUUGUCACCUCAUAUGGAUAGUCCUAAUGCUGCAGAGGAAUCUGACGUUGAGAAUGGGUGCAGUGUUUCUAAUGGCAGGAGAAUAAAGAGGAGUAGAGUUGUGCAGGACUCUGACGAUGAAACAUAGGAAAACAAUUUUGCUUUGAACAAGAGCCUCACAUGGGCAAAGAGUUGCAAUCUCCAUAGAACGUCCUGCCCCCUUUCAUAUGGCACAUUUCAUCACAUUUUUUACUGAAAAUAUUUUUCCGAUUUUAUGAUAUUGGAUGUUGAUGACAAUUUUAAUCUAAUAAUUAGCAUUGAAGUGGUGAAAUGAAAAUAUUCCAGUUUCGAGUACAAUGUUUGAUAUAGAUGUUGACAUUUUGCUGUCGACGUUCUGACAUUUUCAAGCCACUUGAAGGAGUAGAAAGGGGUACCUCCUUUCUUUUGAAAAAGAAAAAAAGAAAAAAGAAUGCAUUAUGAGUGCCAACUUUCAAUUAAUCUUCCUGUAAAUCCCUCUCACAAGUACAAAAAUAAGGCUCAUGUUAUAGGUUUCAAACUCCAUAGCCAACUUCACCUUUUGGAAAACACUGGAGUUGUAGAUAGUAUAGCAAUGGUGGUGGUGUUAAUUGUGAUGAUAAGAUGAUCCCGUUGCUUGAAAGACAUCAAUCCAAAGUUCCAAACCAUUUCAAAUAAAAUUAAAUAUACAACUUGAGCACAGUAAUCUCUGGCUAGAGUUUUUGGAUGCCAGAAGAUUUGGUUAAAUACAUACAGCAACCAUUAACUAUAUAGCAUAAUGAUCAUGAACUGGCUGUCCCUAUCUUCGUGAUGGGUCUCCAUCCUCGUCACCCAGAUUUGAAUAACAGAACUGCUUUCUGGUCCAAAUAGAAAUAAAUAAAGUGGUUUGUCUCAUGAGUCACAUAUGAACCUGUGGAUACCAGAAAUAAAUAAAUAAGAAAAUGAUCAUUGAAAUUUUAUCCAACUGAAGCUACAGCAUGACCAGACAAAUCCUCCCCACCAACUUGAUUCCCCAGUCCUCAAUUCCCCAAAGCAUAUUGAUCAACACUAAACAACAAACGCUUGCUUAGUCGCACAUGUUUAUACUGAUGGAGUCACUAGCCUAACCCUACAUGUAAAUGGCACUAGAUUAUUUCCCAUAAGUGGUUAAGAAGCAAAAGAAAUCAAGUAAACAGUCCAGUCAUUGUCCAUCUAUUACACUGUCAAUUUCAACUAAUUAAGUUGCACUCAAUUGGAAUAAUAAUGUCCUAAUUCCUAACCAAAAGUUGCUCAAACCAAAUAAAAGAAUAAAAACCAAGAUUGCUUCCGUAACCUACCGAGCAAUAGGUCAUUACAUCCCCAAAUUUGUUAAGGACUCGGUCGUGCUAAUAUCAUGUUAUUUUCUUUUUUGCAUUUUGAAUGAGUUAGUUUGUCACGUGAAACUAAAUCAAUACAAAGGAGAACAAAACGGACUUCCUCUCUCUCAAGAUCUAAAUUACUUUGUCUACUAUGUCCCAACUACUAGUAGAAAGCAAGUAAACGGACUAGUUAUUGCCUAUCAAAAUUGACGUCCAAAACUGACUAAGCCACGUACAACCAAGAUUACUAAUGAAGCCCUCCCUAGAUGCAAUUUAACCAUGGCCCAUUGCAUUCCCAAAUGAGUUAAUUACCAAGCAUACUCAUAUCAUCACCUUUCUUCUUUCCAUUUCAAACUUGGUUUGACAAGCACACAACUUGGUCAAUAGUUUUAAUAAUGAAGCCUACCACUACUGGACUGCUUUGAACCACAGACACAAAUGCAUUUGUAAGAAAGAAAUUGUUUAUGCAAACCUAUUACAUUGCCUACCAGAGGAACAAACAAAGUUCUUAUUUCUCAAGAUCCAAAUUGCUUCGUCUAAAAAUCAGGGCAUUCAAUGAUCUUGACAUCAGCCAACAUAAAGAGCCAAGAUUAGGUGGGGUUGUCAUCAUGGGUUAGGAUGUUCCAUCUCUUACACUAUGUUUGAUUGGAAGGAAGGAGGUGUAAAUAAAGGUAAGGAGAGGUUAGUAAUUUAUGUAACUGUUUGGAAAGAAGUGAGGGAGGUGUAAAUAAAAGUAAGAAGAGGUUUACGCCUUAUCCUCCCUUACCCCUUAAAUAUCAAUUCUUCUUAUACCCCAAAAUUUGGUAGGAGGGGGAGGUGAGAUAUGUUCAAAUUUUAAUAUUUGUUACCCUCCCUUACCCCUCCAUUAGUUCAUCCUUUCUGAACAUGCAGUUUUUCUUAUUAUAAAGCUCCUUCCCUUCCCUUGCCCUUCCAUUAAUUACCCCUCCCUCACCUCAUCCAAAGUGAUCUCAGAGAUAAACACUAAAAAAUGAAAGAACUUCGAACUAAAGAUACACACCAAANNNNNNNNNNNNNNNNNNNNNNNNNNNNNNAAAGAAGUCAAAUUAGAACUAUUUGCAAUGGCUAGUAGCUAAUGAUCACUCAUCAACAUCUACUACAUAAUUUCAUUGAACCAUUAAACUCAUGUCACUAUCUGAGUGAGAGCAAGAAAUGCAAGCUUUUAUCAUCCUUUUGUUGAAGAAAUAAGUGGAAAAGGCAGGCCUCAAACUGAAGCUUAUACCGACAAUCAAGCAAAAGUAAAUAACAUCUGAUGUAAGCCUAGAUCUAAGUAUUCCAUGCUUUAACCAUAGAAACAGCAUCAGCCAUCCAGCAAAUACUGACUCCAAUUAGAAACCAAAAGCAUGAUAUCACAACAAUACCCGCAAAAUAGCAACUAAUAUCAUCAAAUCUGAGCAAAAAACAAAAAAUAACAGCCCCACAAAAGCAAAAUGGAGUCGAAAUGGGGUUACCAAAAUUCCGACCAACGAUGCAAUGCCAAGUGGGUCCAUGCCUUCUAUCGAACUCCUUCUUUAUGUGCUCAGCUACAUCCUUCUCUACAUUGAGCUUCUCGAAUGCCUGAAUCAAAAAACAUCCAAAUAAAAAAAGAAAAGAUAAUCAAGUAAAAAAAUUGAAAUGGAAACAAAUAAAUAGACCAAGUUUAGAGAGAAAGAGAGAGAGAGCUAACAGCGAUGGCAAUAUCGACGGCCUCUUUCUGCAUGUCAUCUUUCAUGUCAGCAUUCUUGAUGAUGAUUUUCUUGGCGGUGGGAGCUGAAGCUGGAGAGACUUUCCGAUCAUCUGAGAUGGGUUUAGCCACCAGACCUCCGGUGAUGCUUCUUUUGGAUUCUUCAGUACUCAUUAUGCUGGUUGGUCGGGCCGCUUUAUUUUUCCUUUGAGAUGAAGCUAUUGAGUUCUGAUUUAGCUUUCAGUGAAAUAAAGAGGAGAACAGUUUCUGUCCCACUCUGCGAGAAAGUGUGUCUUUGGAUGAUUUUAUUUCUACUCCCACUCGUGCUUUUGGUUUCCUCUGGCCAAGCAAUUUUUAUGGCGCGGUGAAAGCAGUUGCUGCUCAGCCGUACUCUGUAAAACGAUGUCGUUCAAAGGUUAUAUUGAACUACUCAUCCCCAAGGGGUUAUCCACUCCCGUUUGCUUGGGCCUACUCGGGAUUAGAUUUUGCGAGCCCAAAUUACUUUAAAGAGAGAAAUAAUAAAAUAUUCAUUAAAAUUAAACAAUAAUAUAAUGUAAAGCCCAUCCAUGAUUUUUUCAACUAUGAAAUCAAAGUCCACUGGGCUACAGCUUAGUACAAAAUCAAGAGACAUAUAAAUCCUCUAAUACUCCCAACCUAUAACCCAAAUAAGUGGAAGCCUAACCGAAAGAAAAAAAGCCCACUGAAGACACUUGGGUCAGCUCUGAAAUAAGUACCUCCAUUGUCAACAUCCACCAAAAACAACGCCCAACAAAGAAGCAAUUCCAGGCAAAUAACAAAAUUAAGCGCCAUAAGCCAUAGCUACCUGUCACAAUUAGAAAGAAGGAUUCACCCAUGGCGUUUUUAGUCUUUGAUAGCCAGAGACUCAUUUUGAAUAGUCAAUCAAGCUUCAAUACCUACUUGAGAUCAAAACCCACAAAAAUUCUCAUAAUAAACCGAAAAUACAUCCCAAAACAACACAAAAUAGUAAGUAGAGCCAUUGAAAGCACAUUGACUAUCAGUCUAUCACUGACCUUUGCUGUCGCCUUCUCUCUCUUUCCCUUUGAGAGAAUUAAAUUAAAAAAUACACAACAAGCAGUUUUCACUUAAGUUAAUCAGAGGGCACCAUACAUAUCGUUGGACGCGACGCCGUUUUAUGGUUGGGCAGCACUACUUUUAGCUCACCAUUUUGAAAAUGGACCAGUACAAGUGAAAAAACACUCUCGCACCUUGUCACACCGAGGGACACAGGAAGUGUUCUCUUCUUCGCACUCAAGCGAAAUCACAACCCAGUAGCUUCAUCUCACAGGAAAAUAAGGUAUCUAACCAAUACAAAUAAUGAGUACCGAAGAACCCAAGAGAAGCAUCACUGGAGGUCUAGUUGGUAAACCCAUCUCAGAUGAUCGAAAAGUUUCUCCGGCUACAGCUCCCACCGCCAAGAAAGUCAUCAUCAAGAACGCUGACAUGAAAGAUGAUAUGCAGAAAGAAGCCGUCGAUAUUGCCAUUGCCGUUAGCUCCCUCCCUCCCUCUCUGUAUCUCACUCUAUACUUUGCCAAAAUAUUUGUUCCCUUUUCAAUUUUUUUUUUAUUUGGAUGUUUUUUGAUUCAGGCAUUCGAGAAGCCCAGUGUAGAGAAGGAUGUAGCUGAGCACAUAAAGAAGGAAUUCGAUAGGAGGCAUGGACCCACUUGGCAUUGCAUCGUUGGCCGGAAUUUUGGUAACUCCCAUAUCUACCCUAUUUCCUUUUGUGGGGACUUUAUUUUUUGUUUUUUGCUCAUAUUUGAUGUAAUAUGUUGCUAUCUUUUUUUGGGUAUUGAAGUGCUUUCAUCCAAAGAUGUGCUUUUGUUUCUAAUUGGAUUCAUAUUUUGCUGGAUUUUUUAUGCUGUUUCUAUAUUUAAAGCAUGAAAUACUUAGAUCUAGGCUAAGAUUGGAUGUUACUUACUUGUAUCUAUCUACUGCCGUGCUGCAUAACUGGUUUCUCACCUUUUACUUUUGCUCGAUUACCAGUAUAAGCUUCAGCUGUUGGCCUGCAUUUUGCACUCCUUUCUUCAACUAAAGGAUGACAAAAGCUUGCAUUCCCCUCCUCGCUCAGAAGGGUACAUGAAGUUUAAUGGUUCAAUAAAAUUAUGAUGUAGUAGAUGUGGAUGAGUAAUCAUUAGCUUCUACUCAUUGCAGAUGGAAAUUCACUUUUUUUUGGUGGUGUUUAGCUUUAUCUAGUAGUUUACUUUUUUCUUUUUUUUUUUUAAUAUUCAUCUUUGACAUCACUUUAACCCAAAAUACACCCCACCUAAUAUUGGCUCUUUUAGGUAGUUUGGUGUUGGCAUUAUUGAAUGCGUCAUUUUCGAGACGAAGCAAUUUACAUCUUGAGAAACAUGAGCUCUGUUUGUUCCUUUGUUAGGCAAUCUAACAAGUUCAUAAGCAAUAUCUUACUUACAAAUGCAAUUGUCUUUGUUGCUUGAAGAAAUCUUUUCACGGGUGGAAUUCAUUUUUUGGCCUAUUGACCAAGUUGCGCUUGAAAACAAAGUUUAAAAUGAAAAAAACAAUGGUGUUUAGCUUUUUUCCUAGGUGACUAACUUAUUGGAAAUUUAUUGAACUAUGGUUCAAUAGCAUCUAGAGAGUGCUUUGUCAGUGAUCUUGGUUGUGUGUGGCUUAAUAAGUCUUGCUAGAAACAGGCAAUAAGUAGUCCGGUACUUGCUUUGUAGUUUCUUCUAGUCGUUGGAUAUGGUAGAUAAAUCAAUUUAAAUAUUGAGAAAGAGGAAGUCUAAUUUGUCUUCUCUGUUAUGCACCAUAAAAUACGUACAAUCUCUCUUGCAGAUGCAAAUGUUGUGCUGCUCAAAGUAACACUUUUGUUGGGGAAUUUGUAUUGAUCAUUACUGGCUAAGUUGCAUGCUUGAUAAUUUAACUCAUUUUAAAAUGCAAAGAAGAAAUAACAUGAUAUGAGCACCGCCAUGAUAGAAGCAGCUCCAACAUAAUGGGCCAGGACCCAAAACCAUUUAGGGUAUACUACAGAUAGAGGGUGAGAGGUUUGCGAAUGCAGCCAAAUGGAAUAGAAGGACCAAGAAAAGGGCCACCUGGGAAAGAAGAUAAGAGGAGGUUAUGCCGUUAGUGGAAUCCACGGGAAUCAAUCAUUGAAGAAUAUUAGCUGUUGGGAAUCUCUUUUCAUGCUUAAAUAGUAAAGUGAUCAUUGUGAUUGGUAUGAGAAAUAUUUUGUUCUUUAGCUUGUCUGCUUUUCUAACUUGAGUAGAAGGAGAAUUCCUCCUGGAAAAGCUCAGUCAUUUGUAUUCACAGUGCUUGUUUCUUCAAAUUAAUUCAACCUGCUCUCCAUUCUCUUAUUUUCUUCUGUUCUUUUGCUUCUCACUCUAUUGUGCCACGUCCUUAAAGAUUUGAGGAAGUAAUGACCAGUAGCUGCUAGAAGAGGUUCAGCACUCUUGGUUGUACCUUUUUUGUUUGAUUUGAGUGACUUUUGGUUAGGAAUUAGGCCGAUUUUUAACUUCCAUUUACGAGUACAACUUAAUUACUUGAACUAGAUAAUGUUAUUGGUGGAAAUGACUAGGCUGUUCACUUGCUUUCUUUUGCUUAUUAACUACUAUAUUUCACCUUCUAUUAUCAUUCACAAGAGGGAGCUAGUAAUUUCAGUUCUGAUCGCAACAUCUCUAAUUCUGAAGACACGGAUUUGUUUUCUGUGUUUUUUCCUGUUUCAACUCUAAUGAGACUAGUGAUGUCAUCAAUGUGAUUUCUUCUUAUAUAAACAUGUGUGACUAAGCAAACAUCUGAGCUUCAGUGUUGGUCAAUAUAGUAAAAGGACUAUUACUGCGGGCCUAAGUGGUGAUCAUGUUGUUUAUUUUCCGUAGCAUGGUGUAUUCAUUUCUUUUUACCAGUAAUGAACUGAUUGGAAUGGGAAUUGGAGUCUAGAUAUAGGGAAUCAAAUUGGUGGGCCUCCGGGAGGGGGGGCGGGGGGAUUUGUCUAGUCAUCUUGCAGCUUCAGCUUUUGCCAGCUUGUUAGCAGAACAUUUCGCUUCCUAGGUUUGCCCAGCUUAAUCGAUCCAUAUUGCAUGUUUCUUGUGAUCCUCGCUGAGCAUUCUGCCAGGAUUAGUGCUAACCUCCUCUAUUACAAAUACGGUAUGGCUGCUUCAACAUCUGCUCAGAAAGUUAUUUAGGCAGUCAAAUGCCCAUGAUGAGCGUAAUCUUAGUAUAACCUCUAUUUUUUUUGCUGUCAGACUUAGAUAUCUGUUUAUUUUAUUACAUGAUCUGGACUGCAUGUGUUGUCUUCUUAAUAAAAACGGAAAUUAUUUUGAAUUCCACCCUUGUAGAUGAUGUCUGUUUAUGCUGUUUGUGGGAAAUGGAAUACAAGUUUGUUUCAUCUCUUAGAUGAAAUUUCAGGAUAUUCAGUUUCUCAUUUAUUUGUUUCUGGUAUCCACAUUCUACAGGUUCAUAUGUGACUCAUGAAACAAACAACUUUGUUUAUUUCUAUUUGGACCAGAAGGCAGUUCUGUUAUUCAAAUCUGGGUGAGAAGGAUGGAGAUCAAUCACGAAGAUGGGGAUAGCGAGUUCAUGAUAAUUAUGCUACAUGAAUCAAUGGCUGCAGUGUGUAUUUUUAACAAAAUCUACUAGCAUGCAAAAAACUCUAGCCAGAGAUUACUGUGCCCCAAAUUGUAUAUUUAAUUUAAUUUCACUUGAAUGUUUGUGGCCAUUCCAGUCUGUUGCUCCCCUUGUAUUCAAUAUUUAGUGUUUUGGUUUUUAAACUUAUUAAUUCUGGAAUAAGACUAGAAUUCAAUGUGUUGUACAAAAACUAGAGAAACGUUCUUAUGAGAGAAGACUGCUUCUGCUUUUGCAUCUUUCAAGACAUCCCAGAAAGUAUACAAAAGAGACAAUUAACAGGAAGUAAUUUUCUUUAACCUCUUUUUCUUCCAUCUUAUCGGGAAUUUGUAAAUUCCAGAAGGUCUUCAUAAUUUUAAUAUUAUUGAAUAAAAGCUUGUUGAUGCUACACACAUUUAUUUAUAUAUUUUUGCUGUAAGGUAUUCCAUAAUUAAGUAUGCAGUGUUGAACUUCAUAUUCCAAAUUAAUUCCCACUUGAGGGAAUAAUGUUCAACUAAGUUGAUUGGUUUUGGAAAUAGAAUCUGGGAUUGAAUAUAUAAAACAGAAUAUUACCUUCAAUAAUUAACUCCAAAAUAUGGUAUUCUAUUCUGAAGACUUUACUAAUAAAUAAUUUGUUAAUCUAGCUAUUAGGAUUGAUGAACAUUGAAGAUAAAAUACCUAAACUAGAUUUUUUUAUGUCAGUAAGAAAUUAAAUUAAACCAAAAUUGAAUCCAUUUUUAAAUUAAAAUAAAAAUCAUUAAAAAUUGAAUUGAAUAAAAUCAGUAUUAAAGUCGAUUGAAAUUUAACUAGGAUUAGUAUGUAAAAUUUUAAAUAAAAAAAACUUAAUAUAUAUAGAUACAUAUGCUCUGUUUUACAAUAAUUUUAUUAGUAGUAUUUAAAGUCAAAACACUAUUGUUUAAAAAUUAAAAAACUAAAUUAUAAAAAAAUAUUUUUUAUAUUAUUUAAUUAACUAUUAAUAUCUAUUAAAAUCGUAAAUAACUACUAAAAUAUUUAAUAUUACCGAAUAAGAUCAUAAAAUUUUAUGAUUGUUUUUAUAGAUUCCACCACAUUUUUAUGUAUUGAAUUCAUGGAUAAUAUUUUUCUUUUUUUAAAAAAAUGUAAAUUUGUGUGAAAUGCAUUUUUUAUCCUAAAAAUAUUAAAAUAAAUAAUAAUUGCAUUCUCGUGGGAACCUAAGUGUCCCUUUGCAUGGGAGGAUUUGUGGAUGGCAUCACUACAACAAACAAGUGGGGGGCAAACCCUAAUUAUUCUAACUAGUAGGUAUGCUCUGCUAUGCUCUUUCUAGGGUUUCUACCUUUCAAACCAGUUGCUUCUACACAUUGGAAAGCAUAAGAUUCUAUCCUCUUCUUCUUUCUUUUUUUUAAUCUUUGCCUUUCUCUCUAAUUAUUAUUAUAUACCUCUAAACACAAAUACUUAUUAAUAUAUUUAUUUUUUAUAAUAUAAAAAUUUAUUAAUUAAUUUAUCAAUUUUAAAAAAAUAUUAACGUAUCAAAUUUUAAAAAACUUAUUAAUUAAUUUAUUUAUUAAUUUUAUCUAUUAAAUUUUUAUUAUUUAAUUUUUAUAAUAUAAGAAUAUUUAUUAAUUUUAUCUAUUAAAUUUUUAUUAUUUAUUUUUUAUAAUAUAAAAAAAUUCACAGGUAAUUGAUUUUUUAAUUUAAAAAAUAAAUUAAAAUAUUCAUAUAUUAAUUAGUCGGGCUCUAUAUUUAUAGAAUUUUAAAUUUUUCUUGAGUGAUUCAAAUGUAGUAAAUUUUUUAAAAUCAUAAAAAUGAUUUAAUAUAUUUUUUAAAAUUAAAUAACUAUCUAUUGAAUUUUUUUAUGCUAUAUUAACUAAAUAGUAAAUUUUCUCAUUAAUACAUAUGUGCUAUUCGGUUUAAAUGGGUUCACUUCUCAUUAAAUAAUUUACUUAUAUUAGAAAAAAUAAAUUACUUUUUUAAAAAAAAUUUAACUGCUUAAAAGUAAAAAAAAAAUAUAUCAACCAAACAAAUAUAAUUAUUAUAUUUUUUAAAAACUUCAAAUUAUGUAAUUGAUUUACUUCAUGGGAAUUUCUUCCAUAUCUGCUUAUUCUCCUUGCUCCCUUAAUCAUCCUUAUCAAGUACCAGCUUUAAAAAAAUUAUAGAAUAUAAUCAGUCUGAUGUACAAAAGUUUUGUAUAUAUAUAUACAUAUAACUCUGUUCAUGGGGCCUUUGAUAAAAUUUGUUGGUGGGUACCAAUUCUUGAAUCAAGUGCAAGUUUCUUCAUCACCCACAAUAUUAUAUUCUUACACAAUUAUAGAUAAUUAAGUAAUUUUUUAAAUUUUGUUUUCAUUUCAAAUAUAAAACUUAAUAAAACUAUAUAUGCAAAUUGAUAUUUUUUUCAAUAUAUAUAAAUCAAAUUGAAUUUAUGAUUUUUUUUCAAAUAUAUAACAUUUUUAAAAUAUAAAUUAUUUUUUCAUUGAUAAAAUUUAAUUUGUAGCUUUCCAUCAACACACAUCAUACUCUUCUUCACAUCUCUCUCGUUGACACCGCAGAGACUCGUAGCCUCUUUCUCAUCUUACAGAUGAUACUAGUCGCCAAUUCAUGGUCAUCACGUCGGCCAUUCCUUUUUGGUAUGUCUCUUGCUUCGAGUGGCUCGACUGUAACACUGCUUCCUCUAUGGCUCGACUGUAACACUGCUUCCUCUAGUCAGCCCAACGACUCAACGCCAGCUUAUUGUAUCCAUAACAUCUCGCCUGCUACUAUUUCUUGAAUUUCUGCUGUAUUUUGUGUUCUAUAUAACAUUGAGAGUAUAUGAGCAUACACGAGAACUUGAAAGUCCAGAACUUUUGCAUGGUUUUUUUCUUGCUCUUUGGUGAUCAAUAGUUUUCUUUUUUCUUCCUACUCAGGUUCUAAAGCAUUUCAUUAAUGAAACUCCAUUAAAAUUAAGGACUUAAAUUUAAAGUGAAUGUUUUUUUAUUAAGGAAUUUUGGACCAAAAAAUUAUUAAUAGAUAAACUUUAAGGAUUCAAUAUAGACAAGUACCCUUCUAUUAUUUUUAUGGAAAAAAAGCAUAAUCAACCAACUAAUUAGUCCAGUUUAAGCAAACUCCUUCAACACUGUUUCUAAACAAAUACAUCACAAACCAAACCUUGGCAGCUUCCUUGCAUACUUGAGGCUGAAAUAUGACCGCAGAUUGCCCUUUUUGGCUUCAUUCCAUUACCAGGAAGCUUAAAACUAUAGAGGAUAUCAUUGUCAUUACAAAAGAGAUACUAGGGCAAAACAGAAAACGACACAGAGGAUUUCUAUGUCAUUUCAAAAUUAAAAAAAAAAAAGAGAGAGAGAGCUAGAGAACAGUUUCAAUUCUCCCCCCCCCUCUGUCUCUCUCUCAAUAUGCAAAACCACCUGCUCGGUUUCUGGUGCUUCUAUUGUUACGAGAAGCAUGAGGAGAUGAUGAUGAAGAAGAAGAGGAAGAUGCAGAAGUUGGUUUAAUGGCUGCAAGUGAACAGUUCUCUUUCCUCAUGGUCUCCUCCUCGUCCAUAAAUAUCUGCCUACACCUGCACUCCACGCUACAAAAAGCUAUAUCUCCUCUGCUUAUUAACCAAAAAAGGAGAAAAGGAUCCAUCUUUAAAGAUUAGCAAGUUAGAAUGAAGUCUUGUUGGGUUAAUGUCCAAAAAUUAAAAUCUGGGUAGUCAAGAAAAAACUAAAAAUGAAAUAGUAGGAAAAGUAGGGUUGUUAUUGCUUACUUAUACAUGUAGAUGUCUUUUCCAGGCAAGAGUUUCUGUCCACAAAGAAAGCAAUGCUCAAGAAAAUUAGAUGAGUGGGGAUAAACAGAGCUUGAAGAAAGCAAACAAGAAGUUUUAUUGAUCAUCGCAGUGGCUUUGCUGAUCACUUGUGUGGUUUUGUCAUCAACACCACCCUUUUGUGCCUCCAAAACUAUACUUAAACCAACCAUCUCUCAUUAUAAAAUUUCUCUCUUCUAUAACGACAACAAGACAAAGAGCGUCUCCAACGACUGGCUAAGGCGGCUGCAGCGGCGGAGAAGGAGGAAGAGUCGAAGAGAUAGUGUUUUGGAAAUUGAAGGGAAAUAAAUAAAGAGAGAGAUGGUAAGAAAGACGAAAGGAAUUGGUGGGUCCAUUACAGCACAGUAGUCAGGACGAUUAGCUAGCCAACGAUUUGACUUCUUAUGCUUAUUAACUGCCACGUAUCUCUUUUCAGUUUCCAUUCCAAUUUCUUUUUUGUUUACUUUUCUCCUUUUUUAUUUUUUUUGUUUGUUUGUUUUCUUCCCUCUUCACUUUGUACAUUACAGCUCACUAAUGACUCCCAUAAUCCAUUAUUGAUACAGAGAUCAGAUCCUAGCCAAAUGAUUCACAAACAACCAUUGUAAGCCAUCCAUGAAAAAUUGCAAGUUACCUAAUGACGGUACUCGCCAAGUGUUUGAUGAAAUGCCUAAGUUGGGGUUAGUUGAUGUAGGCGAGCAAGUUACCCUCCAAAUUAAAGUCGGAAAAUGAAUGGUACGGAAUGGGCACAUGAGUACGUGUCCAUGGCUUGAGGGGUGAGGCUCUGUGCAUCCGACUACAAAUCUCUGCGCAUCGUGAGCUGAAGAAGAAGACCCACCUCGCAGGUAGCUGACACGUUGAUCAAUCAAGUGAUAAAAGCGCAAGGACUUGAACCCUCCAAGUGGGUCCACGUAAUUCUUACCAUUUUAGGCCGACAUGUGGGUCGAAUACAACUCUACUAAUUUCACUUUCAUGGGUCCCAUUCCCAUCGGCCAUUUUGCUGGAGGGUUUGAAUGAAGAAGAAGGUGUUGGGCCGCGUGCGUGUCCUGAGAAUGAUAGAAAGUGGGGCCCAGUUUCCAACUAAUUGAACUCAACUGUGUAAGGCCCAUUUUGAAGUUGAGAUGACGUGACAGUUUUUUAUAGACUCUUUAAUUUCAAAUAAUAUUUUAAAAAAAUAAAGAAAAUUCAAUUAUUUUCAAUGCUUUAGGUCUUCCUUAUUCCAAUUGAAACCUUGAUGGUACUCCAAAAGUAUUAUGAUUUUUUAAACAAAUAAAGUUAGUCAAUAAUUUUAAUUUUUUGUGAAAAACAUUGAAUAUCACUUAAAUGAGAUUGAGGGAAUAUAGCACUUUAAUAAGGAAAAUAAUAUAUCCCACUUUAAUUAUCUUUUAAUUUAUCAUUGUAUUAUUAGAUAAAAAUCAAACACCCGACGUCAAAGUAAAGAGUCCUAGGAUGUGAUUGAUUUGAAUAAUUAAGGAUAAUUAUUUUUAAAAUUUAACUUAUUUUAAAAAUAAUUUCAAGCCAACAUUUAUAUGACUAAUUGCGUUUAAAACCUAAAAGCAAGAUUUGAGUUGAAAGACGAUACAUUUAGGUAUCAAAUCAACUUUCACUGCAGAAUUUUCUUUAUCAAAUUCAACAUUUAUUUUUUGUUGCUACCUAUAAAUUCAACAUUAUUACUGUAUCUUCAUAAUAAAAUAUGUGCUAAAUUAAUCUUAUUUUAUGACUGUAUAAUUUUAAAUUUAAAUUUAGUAAAUGAAAAGAAAAUAUUAAAUAUUACAGAAAAGAAAGGAGGAGGAUUAAAAAUAAAAACCUAGCAUCAUCUUACUUUUUAAUGAUUCAAUUUGGUGCAUCUGAACAAAAAUUGGUGAGAAUAUUUAUAUUUUAAACAAAAAUUUAUUAUUUAAUUUUUAUAUUAUAAAAAAUUAUUCUUUUUAUUUAAAAAAUAUAAACAACUAAAAUUUUCAUUUAUUAAUAAUUUAAAAAAAAAAGCAAUAGAACAAAAAUAAUAGAGAUUAGUAGGGACCAAUAUAAAGAUAUAUAUUGAGAAUGAGAAGUGGGUAUAGAAUCCAGGAUGUGGAUGCAUGGGAUGCUUCAUGGAUUUUGGAGACAAUUCUGUAAAAAAGUUGAUGGUCUAUAUAUAAUCCUUAAAAUAUCAUCCACAUUUUAUAUCUCAAUAUACUACCGGCAUCAGAGGAAGUGGGCAAGUGGAAGCCAAUCCAUCCUAAAAUUCUUUUCAUUGUGACAUAGGUAAGGUGUUUGUGUACUGACUAUUUUUUUUCUUAUAAUAUUAACGGACUAAAAAAAUAUAUUUUUUAAAAUUAUAUAAAAAAAAAAUGGUGUCCCAUUGUUGGAAACAAAUUAUUGCAUCCCAUCCUACCUUGUACUGCGGAAAAAUAUCUCUUUGGAAGAUAUUUUGUAAAUAUCUCCCAUUCAAGAUAUGCCUGAUGCGUCAUAAUCUAAUGGCUAAUACCAUUUCAACUAUUUUUUUUUUUAGUUUUUGACUUCCAAUUUUGAGGAAUCUAUAAUCAAAAGGUCUAUUUUAUAUCAUUAUUAAAAAUUAAAUUAAAUUAUAAAAUUUUAGAUGGAUUUUUAAACUAAUAUUGAUAACAUAUUAAAUGUUACAUUAAGAACAUAGGAUUUUAGGCCCAAGCAUGCUUAUUGGGUUUCAUUAUAUGAAGGACUGAUGGGCCGGGUCCACAUAUUUAAUUUGAACGUUUGAUAUCUUGAAAAUUGUUUUUUUUUUCAGAUAAUAAUAAAACCAGCCCAACGUAUUAGCUUCAUAGUGUAUGUACAUUUGAAUUAAUUUAAUAACAUCAUUGUAUUAUCCUUCUCUUUUAAUUAGUGGUAACAGUCUCGAAUUUUUUUUAAUAAAACGUAAAUUUUAUUAAAUUUCAAGAACAAUCAACUCAAAAAUUAAUACUUUUAAAAUUUAAGAGAUAAUUUAAUGCGCAUGAGUAUAAAUUAAUCUGACUAAUAAAUUACUACUUAGUGCUCACAAGUGAUAAUAUUAUUAUUUCCUUGUUCAAUUUUAAUAUAUGACUUAUGAUGAUCAGCUCUUACAAUAUCUGCUUGCUUUUUUACCCAACCAUUUAUAAUUUUAAAAUUUGACUAUGAUCAUUUUUUGCUUCUGAAAAAUUUGUGUCAAUAUCAUUAAUUAAUAAUUAGAUGUACUCAAGCAACCAACUUCAAUAAUAUAGUAGAAAAACACAAGAAAUAAAAGGUGUAAUUGAUGGGUUUUCAGGGAGCAAACACUGGUUUUCUUUUACGUUUUGGACCACCAAACCAGGCUUCUUCUCCUACUGCAACAAAUUCUUCACUGUUGAAGCACAGUCUCAGGGCCAGACUACACAGCUUUUUCAUUUUUUCCAACUUCAAAUUUUCAUUUUCUGAGCUGGUUAAUUAAUUUCGUCCGGCCGCCACCAUUCAUUUCAUGCUUCAGCAACUCUUAGUCACACAUUCCAUGUACUGUAUGUCCACAGUGUUUCCCAAGAAUGGUGUAUAUAUAUAUAUAUGUAUAUGAUGAGGGGAUAUUUGGAUGAUAAGCAACAAUGUUCCAUAUUGAAAAUGAAAGAGAGAGACAGUGAUGUUCAAGUUGGAGUCAGCCACUAUGCCUGUUGUUGAUAGAGAUAACGAAAUACUACCUACAUGCAAGUGGUUGUACAUGUGCAAGGCACAUGCUCUUCCUUGCUUCUUCUUCUUCUUCUUCUUAUUCUCUUCUGGCUUGUAUGUACCUUACUUACACAUGCUCUGCCCAUGGCUGUCCAUAGAUGCACAUGCAUGCUAGCUUCUUUCAUUUUAGUCACAUUUUACCCCUUUUUUGUUCAUGUGGAUGAAAAGAAGAUAUGUAUUCAGAUUUGAAAGAGACAGCCUUUUUGUCCUUAAAGUUUUAAUACAAAUGCAUCAUAUAUUCAUAGUAUUAUUAUCGUGUUCGCAUUGAAUCGUCAUAUAUUCAUAGUAUUAUCAUCUGUUAGCAUUGAAUCGAUUCGCUAAUUCAAUAAAUUAUCAAUAUCAUUUCAAAGAAAAGAGUGUCAAAUCUCUAAUACUCGUUAAUUUUUUACAUUAAUUUUUUAUAUUUAGUAAUUUAUUAAAAUAAACAUGACCAUUUCAUAUGAUUAAUUAAUAUUUUUUAAAAAUUUAUAAUUUUAAAUCCAACUGUAUUAAAUGAAUGAAUGUUUGAUAUUAUGAUUAUUUUUAUAUUUAAUUAUUAAAUAAAUGGCACAUAUGUUUUGCUUUGAAUAUAUUGAAAAGAAUUUGAUUUUAUGGCUAGAUGUAUAGUUGUUUACCAUAAAAAUUAAUAAUUUGAUUUUAAUAUAUUUUAUUUUAAUUAAACAACUUAAUUGUACAUUUAUUUCAAAAAUAAUUAUAGAACUUUCUAAAAUAUGGCAAGUGAUUGGCAAUUGCUAUACAAUAAUUCCAAAUAGUCUUAUCCUGUUUAAUUAAAUAGAAAAUAUGUAUAUUAUCCUAAAAUGUUAAAUCUUAAUUUGGUAUAUUAAUUAAAAACUUUUCAAUAAUACAAUAAAAUAUGCAAACAGCAAUACUCCAAUUUCAGAAUAAAUAAAAUAAAUAAACUUAUUUCAAGACUAAAUUAAUUAAAAAAAUUUAAUGCUUUGAAUAUUUAAAAGAAUAAAUAAUUUUUUAUAUGGGUAAGAGAGACGGAAAUAUAUAUAUAUAUAUAUAUAUAUAUAUANNNNNNNNNNNNNNNNNNNNNNNNNNNNNNNNNNNNNNNNNNNNNAUAUAUAUAUAUAUAUAUAUAUAUUAAUUAAUUUCCCAAUCCAAGAUUCAUGUUAGAGGUCAUAACAAGAGAAGGGACAAAAAUUAGAAAAGCCUUGAGGAAAAAAAAAAGAAAAAAAAGACAAAGCAGAGGAAAAUCAGUGCAAUAUAUAAUAAUAUUAUAAAGUCACUUGAAGAAAUAAUAAAGAUAAAAAGUGUAUUUGAAAUCUUGUCCUUGCUAACGCCGUACUACUUCUAUGAUUUUUUUUUCUUUUUAAAAUUUUUGUUUUUUCACUUUUCAAAAUCAAUCCACUGCACCCUCUAUCUUUAAUCUGAGAAACCCUACCCCUUCUUCUUCUUCUUCUUCUUCUUCAUUCCCUUUUCCAUCUUCUUCGCAUUUGAUUAUAUGGUGUUCAUGUGGCAUUACUGCGUCAGUGCUCCUGCCCACCAAGUGUUUGGCCUUUAACGACUCUUUUUCCCAAUCUGUUUUGUAUACCACCGUCAAGAUUGAGACUACACAUGCAAUUUGAGCGGCUAAAAGUCCAUAACAAAGACCCACGAACCCUAGUUCCCAAACAAAGCCUAAGUAAAUGGCCACUGGUGCCCCCACCAGGUAAAAUGAGUAGAAGUUUAUUCCUGCCCCAAUAACGGGCCUAGCACUUCCUCUUAAAAUCCCACAACUUGUGGUUUGUGGACAAUUCGCUAGCUCACAUACUCCAAUUAUGGGCAGAACAAUCAUACAUAACUCAAGAACUUGUUCAUCCUCUGUAAAAACUCUCCCCCAUGUUUCUCUUCCUAGUGUGGUUAAUACCAGCCCAAAUAAUGAGCUUAAUAGAGCUAGUCCUAUAGCAACUGCUGUAGCCAAACGUGCCUUAACUGGUCUUCCAGCUCCUAGCUCGUUGCCUACUCGUGUUGAGACCGAUGAGCUAAGCGCUGUAGGUAAGGUGUACAAGAGAGAUGUGGUCUGGAUUACUAUCGCUGAUGUAGCCAGAGCAACUCGAGGUUUCGAUAAGUAUCCGGCCGCAAUUGUCAUGAACUCAUACCACCACCACUCUAAACAAACAGCCACACAACUCGGAACAGCCAGUCGAAUUAGAAUCCCCCAUUCCCUUACUCCCAGUGAAGGAGGAAGCUGCGGUAGUGGUGAUAGUGGUGUGUACAAAGGCUCCUCAGGGACACGAGUGAAAUACAUGUAACAUAAUAGGUAUAAGAGAGUGUUAAAAUUAGAGAUAAAAGUUGAAAUUGCAAUUCCAGGGACCCCAAGACGAAGAGUGAAGGCUAGGAAUAUGGUGAUUGGGAGGUGUAGAACAAUGGACACCGAAGUGCAGCACAUUAAUGGCCAUGUAGUCCCUUUACUACGUAAAUAAAUGCGUAGAGGGUGUAGGAGGCUAUUAGCAACAAGAUCUGGGAUGCAAAACCGGCAAUAUAAACUCGCAAGUCUGGUUAUUUCAGGAUCUUGAUGAAGAGCAAGCAUGAGAGGUUCAAGAUUCAACCAUAACAAGCCAAUAGGCAAAGAAACCACGAGUAACAUCAGAAUUGUUCUUUGCAAAGUCAUUGAUGCUACUGACAAAUUCCUCGACCCAAAAGCUUGGCUGCAAAGUGGCUCCAUCCCCAUGGCCAAACCUGAUAAGACUGAGUAGCCGGUGAUGUUGGUGAAACCAAUAGCUAAGGCACCUCCGGCGAGCUCCAGACUUCCUAGCCUUCCCAUGCACGCAACUAAAAUCAUGUUUUUCAGAUAACCCACCAAGCUCAUAGCAGCUAUUGGGAAGCCGAUAUCUGCCAUUUUCUUUAGCUCAUCCACCACCUGCCAAAACAAAGGAGAAAAAUCAGCGUGGACUGAGAAAUUUAGGAGCAGUGAGAAGAGUUUGCAGUUGAAUUUAAGAAAAGUAUACCUCUGGCAUUGUCGGGUAGUUUUGGGAGUUCUCUAUAGAAAGCAUCUUUAAUCCUUUUCAGUGCUGCAAGUUUUGAGAGUUAGCAGAGAGGAAGGAGUGAAGAGAUAUAUAUUUAUAGGUAAGAAGGUGGUGGGAGGAUUUUAGUUAGUUGUUGAGUGUUGGGAUGACAGCACUGUGCCCAGGAGAGUGGUGGGAGCGUACAGAGUGUCCAAUUGCAAAGAUACAGCAAAUCAACCUUAUUUUGGAAAAUUCUUUCAUCCAUCGACCGCCAGUAACUAUUCAUCUACUGUCAUGUAUUAAAAAUAUUGUGAGACUUAUAUAUUAAUUUAAAAUUUUAAUUUUUCAGAUCUGUAUAAAAAUUUUCUAUUAUUUCAACCGUGUCCAAUGCUGUAUUAGUCUUCUCCAUACCAUACUGAUCAAAUUACAUUUUGUUAUUUUCCAAAUUUAGCCCAACAUAUCCACUUACAAUUUGGAAUUCAUCAUAUCCUCAACUGAGAAUAAAUAAAUAAAUAAAUAAAACCCAUAAUUUUUCAUUUUAGUGCGAAAAAUCUAACUCAAAAUUUCACUUCUAACUGAAAAUAAGCAAAGCAGAAAAUAGAAGAAAGUUUUUUUUUUUUUUUAAAAAAAAACACNNNNNNNNNNNNNNNNNNNNNNNNNNNNNNNNNNNNNNNNNNNNNNNNNNNNNNNNNNNNNNNNNNNNNNNNNNNNNNNNNNNNNNNNNNNNNNNNNNNNNNNNNNNNNNNNNNNNNNNNNNNNNNNNNNNNNNNNNNNNNNNNNNNNNNNNNNNNNNNNNNNNNNNNNNNNNNNNNNNNNNNNNNNNNNNNNNNNNNNNNNNNNNNNAAAAAAAAAAAAAAAAAAAAAAGGAGAGAGAGAGUUAAGUGGAUCUUGUUAUCUUUAAAGCCUCAUGCGUAUGUAAUUUAAGCACAAAAUAAUUUAUAAAUUUUAAUACUUUUUAUUGGAAUUUUAUUAUUUUAAUCAUUAAAUUAAUGAAAAGCACAAUAAGGCAACUCCAGUUUAAUAGGCAACUCAAUCUGUCAGCCUUUAUAAUGCUUUUCUAAAUUAAGAAAUAUAAAAUUAAAAAACCUCUGUCAAUUGUCAAAAUACAACAAGUUUUGUUGUACUUUGACGCACCGCAUCUCAUCCAUGAUAUAAUUUCUGGCUGUAUCAUUAGGGAGUGAGAAUUGAAAAUUGUAAAAAAAUAUAUAUAUAACAAAUUAAAACUAAUUCAAAUAGGACAAAAAUAAAUCCAACUAUUUUAAUUUAUGGGUUUAGACUAUGGUUUAUUUUUUAAUUUUAAUUAUAUUUUUAACUCUACUUUCAGAAAUUAAUAACAAUUGGUUGAAAAAUGAAAUUUUGAUUCAUCAAUUUUUUCUAGAAUUUGAAUUCAACUGAUUAGAUUAAAUAAUUUAAUUUUUUAAAAAAUGAAAAUUUUAAAUUAAUUUAAUUUAAUUAUUUUUAAUAUAAGCUCCAUUGAUUAUAGAAAAUACUUUUCAAUAAAACUUUAAAUAUUAUUACUAAGCAAGAUAAUAUCUUCUAAUUCUGUGAUGCCAAGCUUUAAUUUCCAUUGAAUCCAAAAGGGUAAAAUAUAUAAAUCAACAUUAACCGUGAAAUUAAAUUAUAUGUUGGUGUCACGCAUACAUGGGAACCAUGCAUGUGCAUCUCUUCUUCCUUCAAAUUGAAUAAAUCUUUUCGAAAAUUAUUACACCCACUUCCUAUGAAUAAAUAAUGUUGUCUAUCAAUUCCAUUUCAAAUCACACUUUUAUAUAUCAUUUUCAACUAUCAUGCCCUAAAAUGUGAAAAUAAACAUAUACCAUUCUAAAUUUCAAGAUGAUACCAUAUUUCUCCCUAUAUAAAUUAUUUAAUAUAAUUUAUUUUUAUUAAAAAAUAUUUUUUAAAUAUAAAUUAUUUUUCAUAAAUAAAUGGGCACUUUUUUUUUUAAUAACAAGAAAAUUUCAUUAAUUCAAAGAGAACAAAGAAACAAUAUGAGGAGGACGGAUAUCAAUCCAAACUCCUUGACCUGACUCAGAAUGAGCCGAUAUUGGUAGAACAUGAGCGACAUCAUUCGCAGAUCUAUAAACAAAAACACACUUUGCUUCCUCAUAACUAGAUAGAAGCAGUUUACAAUCUUAAACCAAAAGGCCAAAAAACGAUAAAUCAUCUAACAAAACACAAUUAACUGACAUCACAAGUAUCUGAGCAUCCAAUUCGAAAAGAACUCGAUUCGAUCCAUACUCUUAAGUAUCAUAUAAAUAAGAUUUGGUAUACAAUAACGGUAGUUAGGGAGAAAUGAAACAUUAUCCAAUGGUGAGAUCUUAAACGUUCUUUUUUUGGAGUUUUGGGACAUGAAAAAUGCCGUGGUUUUGGGGCCAAAGGCACAGGCUCUUGUAUGUAAGAAUUCCCAACACAUUAAGCCACCCUUCUCGCUUCUUCCCCAACGCGUGACAAAUUAAUAGUACUGCCAGUCGGCUAUGCUCCAAUAUUAAAAUAUCUAUUUACUAUUAAAAUAAUUAAUAUUAUCGAAUAAAAUUUAAAUCAUGAUUUAGUGAAUUUUAAAAAUGUAACUAAAAUUUUAUUGUAUUAUUUAUUUAUUCAUCAAAUAUAUCAUUAAGUAUGAAAUAUUUAUCGUAUAUAAUAGUAAUUUUUUAAAUAUAAAAUUUAUAUACGUAAAUAUCUAUAAAAAGAAAUAAAAUUUAAAAAUCAAUCAUAAUAUAAGAAAUAUAAGUCAAAUGUGAAGCACAACAAAUGGAUUUAGUGAAUCUUAUAGUCUAAUUAUUAAAAGCCUUUAGUGAGGUGAUCCCAUGACCUUGAAAUUAUUUCCAGCUACUAGAUCAUGUUCAUGUAUUGCACUCAAAGCCUUUUUUGUUCUACUUAGUCAACAAUUUUUGCUUUAUUUUAAACCCUAAUCAUGAUAGCUAUCCCCCUAGAAUUGGAAAUUCAUAGUGGAGAGAAUCAACUUAAAACAGAUUUGUCCACAUUAUUUGGUCAUCUUUAUCCACCUAGUGCUAAUUAAUAGAGGUAGAUAUUCAAAAGGCAAAAAUUGGUGGCUGUCAAAACCUUGUAGAAAAAGAGAGCGUGCUUGCAACAAUAAUAUAUACACAAAUACAAGUGCAAAUCAUGUUAGCUUUUGUGGGUAGUGACACAUUCAUAAGCUUACUUCAAUGGCAAGUAAAUUAAGUUUAAUUUUGAAAGUUCUCAAAUUCAAAAAAAAAAAAAAAAUCAAUGAAUAGUGCCAUUACUAGAGGCAGAUCUUCAAGUAAAAGGCAAAGACUAGAUUGUGCAAAAAUAUUUUAGACAAAAUAACUUAAUUGAAAUAAUAAUAUAUACAUAAAUCCCACAUCGAUUUUUUUUCAAAUCAUGUUGCUUUAUCGAUAGCGUUAUCCUCAUGGGCUUAUUUCAGCCUAAUAAGAAUAUUUAAGUGCUUUGAGGACUUUUCGGUCACUUUAAGUACAUUCGAAAAUUAGAUUGAUUUAAUAGCAUUCUCAUUCACUGGUAUGUAUAAAUCUCUCUAGCAGAACACCAAUUCCAUCGAAAAAUUGAGAUAGACACUAAAUCUUAAAUAUAGGUAAUUGAAUUUUUUAUUACUUAUUAUUCUAAUUUGAAUCCGUACUUUGGCAGCAAACAAAGAGGAGGAUUGACCCAAACUGUAAGCAAUUAAUAGUUUUCAAUCUAAUUUGAUACGCGCUAUUUAAUUUCUUUGAAGAAUCAGAAUUGGUGUAGAAAAAUAAAUAGUAAUUGAUUUACUAUGAUCUGCUUUUUAAAUGACAUGAAAGACGGCUUAUUGCAAAUAAAUUAAGUUGAAUUUUGAAUGGUAUUAUGUUAAAAAAAAGAAAGUCAUGGAUAAUGCCCAUUACUAGAGGCAGAUCUUCAAAGGCAUAAUUUGAAUUGUGCCAAAACCUUCUAGAUAAAAUAAGGUGCUUGCAAGAAUAUUUAAGUGACAGGUUGGAGAUUUGUUAUCAUGGGUUUUCUUUUUCUUCUGCUGUUUCACCACUGUUUUAUAGAGACAUAAAAUUAUUUUUUGAGUUUUCAUUUAAUUUAUGAAUUUUAAUUAAAAGGUUUAUAUUUAAAUCUCGACAGUUUUCGUCAGUGGAAAAAUAAAAUUAUUUAAUUGUUCUAAACUAUAUAGGAAUCGUAAGAUCCUCUUUAAACAAAUCUCACGUUUGGUCUUUUCAAUACGAAAUUGGACAGCAACUAUUGACAGCUCCUAUUCAAAAGGUCAUUAAUGAUUUAGGCAAUGUGAUUUCUCUUUGACACGAAGCCAAAGUAUGAUCCUAUUUCAAGCAGCUACAGCAAUAGCUUUUAGGCCAAGAUAAACUUCAAGGAAUCAUGCUCUUUUUAUGUAUAUAUAUAAAACACCAUAAAUAGCUGAACCUUUAAGAAGAAAUUAACACGUGAAAAAAAAAAGAAAUAAUAAUAAAUAAUGAUAAUCACGUGGAAGAAUUUGGUUGCGGGGCACAUCAACAUGUGAACCCUAUUCUAAAAUAUCAAAGACCCAACUUCUCCCACUUGCAUGGAAUCCAAUAAGAAGAAUAUAGAAAUUAACCUUUAUUUUUAUAUUAAAAGACACAAUUCUUUUCCUAGUUUUAUUUUCUAUACAUGACCUAACUUGGCUAUCCACAUAGAAAACUAGCUACCUCACAUGGAUUUCAUUAAUUAACAAGUCUCACUCUCUCUCUCUCUCUAUAUAUAUAUAUUUAUGCGACCAUACACAAAGAAAAUUAGGUAAACAUAUGAGAUAAUGUAAUAAUUUAUAAUUUUUUUCUACAAUAAAACAUUAAUUAAGACAAUUAAUUGAUAAUUAGUGCUUAUAUUAGGUCAAUUAUCAUGGUGUAAAUAAUUGUAAUAGCUAUAAUAUACUGUGAUGUUAGGUUAGGUAUUCACUGAUUGAUAUUUAUAUUAUAAUACAAUAAAUAAUUAGGUUACUGUUUUUCCUCGUGUAAAAGAAAAGUUGCCCAUAUCUUAAAAAUAUCACUUUAUCUUAUAGCCAAUUAUAACAGGUGCAUUUAAUAUAAAUCUGACUUAAUUAUAUUAAAUAUUUUAUCAAGAAAAAAUAUAUAAUUUUUUUACUAGUUUGUUCUUUGCCUGAUAGAAAAUAAUUAUAAGUAUUCAGUUAUAUAUGUUCAGUCAACCUGAAAUUAUUAUAUAUAUAAAUUAUAUUCAAUUUUUUCAGUUUUUUUUCUUCAAUAAUCGUCUUUCUUUUUGCUACCUCUAUGUUGCUGUCCUGUGCUCUUUCUAAAUAGGGGAUAGUUUAUCCUUCCUUCUACUUAGAGAAUAGAUUUUACUUCCUUCCCACCCGUAAGUAGGAUUUUGUGUAUAAAUAAUUGAUUUUUUUUUUAUUGAAUUACAAAUCUGUAGGAUUUUGUGUAUAAAUAAUUGACUAUUUUUAUUAGAUUGCAGAUCCAUACUUUUUUAUGGGAGGAAUUUUUGAAUCUAUUUUGUUCUUUGUUUUUCUUUGUGCUUUGUGCUCUUAUUGCAUGUAAGUGAUCCAAUUCGUCCUCAUAGAUGCAUUUGCAUUUUCUCCAAGCGAGAAGAAAAGACUAAGAUUUUAACGAUGAUUGUUUUUUCAAGACUCAUGUUUUUUUCCUUUACUUUUUAUCCUUCUUCGUCUGUGGUACUUUAAAGAGAUAGAUCUAUUUAUAUUGAUUGUGAAAAAGAGUUUUAAGUUUUCUACUUUUGCCGACAAUCUUGGGGAUUUCUGCCCUUUCUAAUUUGUUUAUUAGAAGGUUGAUUUAAGGCUUAGAGUGUCGAGGAGCCCUUCUCAGUGGACCCUUCACAGUUUGGAUGAAGUUCUAGCUACAUUUCGGUUCUACUCUUAGGUUCUUUAGUCCUUCGACAGGUGAGGAAGCCGCUUCUUGGAUUGUAUGAGCUUUAGCUUGUCUCCUCCUCUAUUUGGUGGCAACCAUCUUAACUCUUUCUUUGACGUUUAGCCUUAAAGUGAGAAAAUUAUUUUACGUUUAGCCUCAAAGUGAGAAAAUUAUUUUGCCCUCUCCUAUAGUUAAGGUUUCAGGUUUCAGGUUUCUUUGGAUUUAUGAACUUAGUUUUGAGCUUGCGUUUGGACUUUUUAUUAGGUUUGUACCUUAAAACUUCUGUUUUGUAACUGGAUGUUUAUAUUUUGAGCUCUCAAAAUCUCUUGUUGAAUAUCAUUCUUUAUAAAAAAAAAAAAGAAAAAUAAAUUUGGAUUGAUCGUAUAUAAUUUCCAAAGUGAUAUUGCAUGGCAUUGACUUCUAAAAGAAAAACAAUGGGACUCUCAAUUUACACCCAAGUCUAUUUGUUAAGGCAAUUUGAAUCAUUUGGCACUGACUCAUUAGUGAUGAGUAAUGCGCCUACUAAUUAAUGAUUCUUGAAUCUUUCUAUUGGGCUCAACUGUGUAAAGCAAAAAGUUCAAUUAAGAAUCCAAACUCGAUCUGUUAAGCAAGAUUCUCAUGCCAAACCAGCUGGGCUUCUAAUCUUUAUAAUUAGAGAUCCAUAUAUGUCGACUUGUUAGCUUUGAUAAAAUAAAAAAAACAAACAAAAAAGACUUUUUAGGAUAAAAAAGCACAUUUAAAUAUUAUUAAAAAAUUAUUUUAAUUAUUUUAGGUUUUUGUUAUUUUAAAUAUUUUAUAGCUAAUAUAUUUAAGAUCAUAUUUAUUUACCAUUAUAACGAGUAAAUAAUUUAUUUUAAUUAAAAUUAAGCCAUGUAGAUUAAUUUAUUUACAAAUUUAUCUUUCUCUUUAUUUUUAAAAAAUAAUUUAUAUUUAAAAAUAUUUUGCAGUAAAAAAUAUUGUUUAAUAAAAUAAUUUAUUUUUUAUUGUUUAAUUUUAAUAAAAAAAUAUAUUAAUAAAUUUAUCUAUAAAAUUUUAAUAAAAUAUUUAAAAUGUGUAAAAUAUUUGUUUCCCUUUUUAAGAGAUGAAAUUAUUUUUUUAAAAGAAUUUAUUUUCUUUAAAUAGAAAAAAAUAUUUUCAUAAAAUAAAACGGAGCGUUAACGUGAGAUUAUUUUAUUAUAAUGAUUCUUUGAUUUUUAUCGCCACCAACUCACCUCCCCGUCGCCAUGCUUAGCAUCAAAGAUACAGGAUUUGGUUUUAUUUGUUUAAUGGUGCAUUCUCCAAUACUGUUCACAACGCUCAAAACUCCCCUCGCCUUGUUUCUCUUUUUUUAAUUAUUUUUUUAAAGUUUAAACCAAUUGCUGUUUAAAUUUUAAAUAAUAAUUUAACUUUAUUCACAUAAGACGAACCUAUAAAAAAAUUAUUUUAAAUUUUAAAAAUACUAAAUCUCUAUCAUUUAAUUUCAUUUACUAAAAAAAUAAAAAAAAAAGUCUGUUUUUUAUUUUUGACGUGAUAUAUGUAUAGCGGUAUUGGUAUAUUAGUUGGAUGGUAUUCCAUCGGUCAAUGGAAUGAAAUUGAAGGCUGUCCAAAUUUUUUGUUUAAAUUUGAGGUGUGUUAUUGGAUUGGAUUUUAGUUCUAUUAGUUUGGGAGUAUAUACUUAAUUUCUUUAUUUUCACAAAUAUUUUGAGUUUUGUCCGCUGAACAUUUAAUGCAAUUCUACAAUUGCAUAAUAAAAAAACUCAUCUAUUUGAAUAACAUCUCAAUGUUUUUAAGAGUUUUUUUUAUCAUUUAUUCAAAAUAAAUCAAAGUAUAAAAAUAAUUAUUAAAUUAACAAAUUUAACUAUUUCUAAUAUUUAAUUAUUAAAUUUAAAAUUAUAAAAAUACUGAAAAUAUAUUAUUUAAAUUAAUAAUACACUUGCUUAUCCAAAUGGUUGAUUAGCUUCAACCUUCAAGUGAUGUGGCAUUGGCACGCAGUUUAACGUACCUUCACGAUUCUUUCUUCUUCGUUAUUCCGGUGAUCCACUACCACGAUGAUCGCUCGGAGGAUUUCGCUCAAACAGCGGCUUUCCACCUCCGCCACGCGCUUUCUAUUUCCCUCUACUCACAAAGCUUCGUCUCCGUUGUCGCCUUCUCUGGUCACGGAGCUCGGACAUCCAUCUCUAGGUGUUUUUUUCCUGCGGCGCUUCUGUAGCAACGCUUCGGAAUCGUUUCAAUCGAUUACUAACUCUAUUGACGUGAACCUCUGCUUCUUCUUUUGCAAAUCAAGCUCAGUUUUUUGCUUUGAAUAUUUGUUUUUGUUUAUAUGAAUAGAUUAUCAAAUUUAUCUUUGGAAUGUUGAUUUUUUUUUUUUUUGGGUUUUCACCGGAAUUUUUCCAGAGUAGAAUUCGAUGUAAGGUGAAUAAAUGUUGCUUUUCGACUCAUGCUUUGGCGGAUCUUCCAGUGGGCGGGAUAGUUGAUGUGCCUUUAGCUCAAACUGGUGAAGGCAUCGCUGAAUGCGAACUUCUCAAAUGGUUCGUGCGUCAGGCGAGUGAUUUAUGCUUUCUCUAUCUCUCUCUUUUCAUGUUAUUUUCACUAAUUAAAUGUUUGUUUAGUGAUUGGUUGAAAUUGUCCACUUCAAGUUUGGCCGUCUUCACAAAUUGGGAUAUUUGCUUUAAAAACAAAUGUUUAUGUGGAUUAAUGAAAUUUCAGUGUCUUCCAAGUUGUUCAUGAAACUUGAAGUGAAUUUCUGUUACACAAUCUGUAUGCGCUCAAUUAUGUCCCAUAAACAACGGGAACGAAUGUUGAUACCGUGCUUUUUGCAGGGGGAUGAAGUUGAGGAAUUUCAACCAUUAUGCGAGGUUCAGAGUGACAAAGCAACUAUUGAAAUAACAAGUCGUUACAAGGGGAAAGUAGCUCAAAUUCUCUCUGUUCCUGGAGAUGUUGUAAAGGUGAGAAUCUAAAUUUGAAACUUAUGCAUGUUAGACUUCACCUCUUUCAUUUACAUGUCUGAUGUUGGAAAUGUGGCUUUUGGCUGUGAGAAAGACUGGUUAGUUCUAUAUGUGGGAUUAGCAACAUUCCAACAAGUGGGAGACGUGAUUUAGGAUUUUUUUUUUCUUUUUGAAUUUAAUCUAAACCAGUCAAACCAGAUGAAUUUAGGAAAUAUAGGUUUGAGAGCUGAAGCCUCCUUUCUAAUAAAGGGAAAUGGGUUUUUUGAAAAAGUUAUUCAACAUUUACCCAAAAUUAUUGCGGCAAAUAAAAAAAAAGUUUGCCAUUCACUUUAAAAUUUUGCAACUCCUGAAAAAUGUAGCAUGCUUUCGUUAACUAUUAGACAAUGAAAAUAAUAUAGGGUGUAAGAAAGUUGAAAUAGGUUGGAAUUGGAAAGGGAAGAAGAUCAAUAUACUUUUGGUUAAUAUAUAUGCUGUCUGAAUAAAAGUCAAUAUUACUGUAGGUUGGAGAAACUCUUCUAAAAAUCAUUGUUGAGGAAUGUCAAGCUCCCAUACAGAUGCAUGAUGGUUCUGAAGAUAAAAAGUCAGUUGAUCCCAAGCUGGAAAAAAUUCAUAUUGGUGGAGUUCUCUCCACACCAGCUGUGCGGAACCUUGCAAAGCAGUAUAAUAUAAAUUUAAAUGAUGUCCAUGGAACUGGGAAAGAUGGAAGGAUAUUAAAGGAAGAUGUACUUAAAUAUGGCAUUCAGAAGGGAGUAAUUGAAGAAUCACCUGGAACUGUGAGAGCUGAUUCUGGGAACCAGUUUCUGGGGGAAAAAGAGAAAUACUCAGAUGCAUCAGCUGAAAUAAGACCACUUCAUGAGGACAAGAUAGUUCCACUAAGGUAAUAUUAGAUACAAACAUAAUCUUGGAUGCCAUGAAAUUAUCAUUUAGGUGGACCUCUAGACUGCGUUUAUGAACAAUAGUAUGAUACCCAGUUCUAUGCAUCUAAUUUUGUUAAUGCCUAUGGAGAUAGCAUGGUGGAGUUCCCCCAGAUCCUAAAUCUUUAGUCAUAAAAUCUCAAACUUCAUUAUAGAAUUACUAACUAAUAUUGUAAAUCCUUAGCCCUUUUGGUGCAUAAGUCCAAAUAUAUAUAUAUAUAUAUUUUGCCAAUAAGAAGUCCAUAUAUUUUAAUGUCCCUCUUACUAAAAGCCUAAUAACUUCAUCAUACAAUGCAUUUUUUUUAUGAAGUCAAAAGCGUUUAUAAAACAGUCCCCCUUCCCAUUUGUUCUUGUAUGAUUUAUGAUAAUAAUUUUGUUAUCUUUUCAUUCAGCAAUUUUUUUUUAUUAAUUUUGAGUAUAAUGCAUUCUCGUAGAAUAGACUUGCUAAUAUCCUAACCUUUUUAAAGUUAACAAGUUAAAUUUGUUAUAUUCUUUCAGGGGUUUCCAACGGACCAUGGUGAAGACAAUGUCCAUGGCUGCAAGAGUUCCACAUUUUCAUUAUGUAGAAGAGAUUAAUUGCAACACACUAGUGGAGCUUAAAGCAUCUUUCCAGAAUAAUAAUCCUGAUCCAGGCGUCAAGCACACUUUCCUUCCAUUAUUGAUAAAGUCACUUUCAAUGGCCCUCAACAAAUAUCCGUGGCUGAAUAGUUCCUUCAAUGAGGAAACAGUAGAGGUGAUCCUAAAAGGUUUGUUGAUUUUAUUCUGCCAAGUAGUUGCUAGUACAUAGUUUAUAGGCUAUGUUGUGCUUCUAAUGAAUAAUCUUUAUUAAAUGAUAAAAAGCAACCCAUAAGUUUUAGAAUAGGUGUGCAACAUACCAGCAUUAUAAUUCUGGUUUCUAAAGCACGUAGCAUCAAGUAACUAGAACUUGGAAUUGUGGAGAUUUACACAAGAUCUCUGGAGGUCUAGUCUAUCUGGAAAUUGGCGUUGCAGUCAACAAAGCGUUUGAAAUGUCCAUAGACAGGAGCAUUUCGUGCUAUAGAGAUUAUAACAAUGCACAAUCUGGAUUACUUGUAAAAACGUUGGAUAUUUCCAUGAAUAAAGAUACAUAUCUGGAAUCUUCUCAUUUGAGUUUCUUGCUACACGUUAUAUGGGCAGAUGGAUGCUUAUAUGUGUUAUAUAUAUAUGUGUGUGUGUGUGUGUGUUUCCAAUAAAUGGAAGUUUUAGUAAUUUGAUGUCAAAUGUUGAUAACAAUUUACAGACUUGUAUGUUGGUGUCACUUGUAUCAUGUUUAAUAAAUCUUUAAUCAAUGCUAUUAUUCCUCCUUUCUCCUGUCUUCUUCCUAACAGGAGUUAUUAUUGAAUAUUAUAGGUUCCCACAAUAUAGGAAUUGCCAUGGCUACUCCACAUGGUCUGGUUGUGCCCAACAUAAAAGAUGUUCAGUCUCUUUCCAUCUUGGAGGUAAGUUAAGCGUCACUUUUCAUCUGUGUUAUAUGCCAAAACUAUUUAUGAGUUAUUUAAGUACAACAGAAUAGAUAUUCUGGAGUUUGGAAUUGGUCCUUGCACAUUGUCAAGAAAAAGCAUAAAUUGAAAUAUCAUGGAAUAUGAUCUUUUCACUUACAAUUGUUGCCUAAAGCCAAUGCAUAUGAAAUGCUCUAUUUGACCAUCAUUUUUCAGAAUGCAACAACAUAAAUAGUGCAAAUGUAGUUUGAAACUAGUUUGGAAGUUGCAACUUAUAAUGUGUUAGACCGUAAGCGAGCACAAGGAUGACGAGAUGGCUAAUCAUUUGAUGAGUCUUAGUUAAUUUUUUAUGCAUACUUUUGAGGUUACUUCGCAUAAGUACUACAUUAUUUUAUUUCCGCAUCUACUGACGUUCAAGAAAAAUGUGCAUUUGUAUAUUUAGAUAACGAAGGAAUUGGCAAGGUUACAACAAUUGGCAUCAGAAAAUAAGCUUAACCCUGAGGAUAUAACUGGUGGAACAAUAACUCUAAGCAAUGUCGGAGCAAUUGGUGGGAAGUUUGGUGCCCCUAUCCUCAACUUGCCUGAAGUUGCCAUUAUUGCCAUUGGUCGAAUUCAGAAGGUUCCACAGUUUGCAGAUGAUGGGAAUGUAUAUCCUGCAUCAAUCAUGACUGUAAGUUACACAUCUUUCUUAUUUUCAGUUGCAUUUUAUGUGUCUUGAUAUAUAGAUCAUACUGUGUUCAUCACCGAAUGAGCUUAUAGUUAAUUUGGAUGACGCGCCCGUGUCUAACACGGUAUUUAACUUUCUGCAGGUAAAUGUUGGUGCAGACCAUAGAGUUUUGGAUGGCGCAACAGUUGCAAAAUUUUGCACUGAGUGGAAACAAUUGAUUGAAAAACCAGAAUUACUGAUGUUGUAUUUGAGAUGAUAGGUUUUCAUUUCACAGCCUCCUCUUUACUGUACAGUUAUUCAAAGCGAAGCAGAUGAGAGAACCAUUUUGUUGGGAAACUUCUAUCAAGUGCCAAAUUGCCAAUAAGAUUUAAAAUAAUGAAUAGCAAAAAUACUUGGGACGGGUUAAAAUGUAAUAAUAUAUAAAUAUGGCAUGUGCAAUGUUUCCUACAUUAUUUAUUCCUUGUGCUCCUUUAGUUUGUAACAAUUUUAUUUCAAACUUGAAUUAAUAAUUGUAAGUUUUCAUUUGUGCAUUCGCUUUAUCCUCGGUGAAUUCAUGAAAUGGCAUUUUAGGAUUGAGGAUAUGUUUGGUGUUGACUAUGCUUUUUUUUUUUUUUUUUUUNNNNNNAUUGUUUUUAUUCAAUUUUUUUUAUAUAUUUUAAAACCGGAAAACAAAUUGUUGCAAGCCAUAAAAACUAAAUCUUUUAGUUUCAUGACAUACUUUAACAACAAAAAAAAAAAUCUAUUACAUUGGAUAAGAUGGUCUAAAAAUAAUAUGAUUACCAGACAACCCUUUUAAUAUAUGAGUCAGAAAUUUUUAAUUGAAUUUCUUGAGAAGUUUUAGAAAAUAUGAAUUAAAAGCCUUUUCAUUUGAAUUCUUUUCACAAAUAUAAAAAUAAAAAAAAAUGAGGCACUCUAUAUUAAAUGAGAAUGGAUUUACUAAUUAUUAGAUCAACUAUUUUUACGUAUAAAUUUAUAUACAAUUUAUUCAAAAUUUAAUUAAUUUGAUAUAAAUCUUAAUGUAAAUAUUUGAUUACUUAUUAUUAAAUUUCUUUCAUGUAAAAUUCAGCUUAAAUUCCAGCUAGUCGGUUCCUUUUUUUCAAUAACUGAUUUAUUUGGAAAGAAUGAAAAUUAGUGCUUCAUAAUGUAAAGUCAAAGCCUCAAAGGAACUAACCCGCAUUUCGAAGAACGAAAGAAGGAACAGAAAUGGCGACGGCAUCAUCAGGCAUCCAAAAGCUCCUGCAAGUUGGGACAAAGAUUGUCGCCGUUGGCCGUAACUACGCCGCUCACGCCAAAGAACUUGGCAACGCUGUUCCUAAGGUGAUGAUUGGUUCUAUAUAUUCUUGUUCAGAUCUUAAUAAUCAAUUCAAAUUGCAAUUUUCAAACUUGAGCCAUCUUCAGGAGCCGGUUUUGUUUCUCAAACCCACGUCGUCUUACUUGGAGAAUGGAGGGAAUAUCGAGAUUCCCCAUCCCUUGGAGUCGCUGGAUCAUGAAGUGGAGCUCGCCGUCGUGAUCAACAAGAAAGCUCGCGAUGUGCCCCAGACCAUCGCCAUGGAUUACGUUGGAGGUACUUGCUGUUACUGGUGAUUGAUUAUUGACAAGAGGAAGCUGUUUUUAUUUUUUCCUUUUCUUUUCAUAUGAGAAAAUUGAUGAGACUGCAGUAGACAUAACUGGUCGAUUUUGGAUUUUAGGUUAUGCUCUUGCCUUGGAUAUGACUGCUAGGGAAAUCCAAGCUUCUGCCAAGGUAAAAUUUCUAUCCUCUGUCUAUAAGCUAAUUGGUGUAGGACUUGUUAGUUUCGAGAUAUGGGAUCAUUUUAAGGAGUAAACAUUAUGACAUUCUUUGCUAGAUCAAUUUAUUUGAAUGAUUUGGGGUUGUACGCGUCAUCAUCAUCUUGAAGUCGAGUAUUAUGUCAAACAUUUGUAAAAAAGUCAUUUGUCUUUUCUUUGUGUUAAUUAUUUUUAGUUUGCACUUGAUGAAAUUUAUUUUCUAAUAAUAAUAAUAAUGCGACAUCUCUCUCUCUCUCUCUCUAUUGGUUAUUUUAUGCGAGUAUUUCAGAAUUUUGCAUGCAAUGGAUACUUCUUUCUUUCUGAUUAAUGCCUUUUCAUUUUAAUAUUUUUCAGUCUGCAGGACUUCCAUGGUCUGUGGCUAAAGGGCAGGAUACAUUCACACCUAUUAGUUCUGUUGUAAGAAACGAACUGAGAUUCCUUUUUAUUAAUCUCUAUUGUUAAAGCAUGCCAACAGCAAACGAAUUUUGAAAAAAAUAAUAACUAGAAUAGUUUUGGAAUUCCAAGGCUUAUUUCCAACACUAACUGAAUUUGGGAUUGCGAUGGGUGGUGACUGAGUCAUGCAAGAUAACCUUCAGGCAUAUUCACUUCUGCUUUUCUUUUCUCGUCUUUUGUAGUUUUGAGUUUUGCGCUUAACAAUCAUAUCUGAUUUUGAUAAAGGAUCGUAUCUAAGAUUUAUCUUGUUCUUUAUUUGUAUGUGCUAUCAUUCACGGUAUUGUUUAUCAUGCUCCAAAUUUUGAUUCUGCAAACAUUUGUUGCAGCUUCCCAAGUCAGCUGUGCCUGACCCUGACAACUUGGAACUGUGGUUAAAGGUGUCAAAAUCAUCUCUUUCUGUACUUAAUUCUUUGCAUUUUCAUUUUGAAUGGGAUUUUCAAAUUGAUGAGGUUGAAUGGAUAUCUUCUUCCAUAGGUAGAUGGAGAUAUAAGACAGAAAGGUUCCACCAAAGAUAUGAUUUUUAAGAUUCCUUAUCUCAUUAGUCACAUAAGUUCAAUCAUGACACUCUUUGAAGGAGAUGUUAUAUUGACAGGUACCAUGCUGAACUCUCCUGAUUCAUUUUUUAGUUUUUGAUAUUUAAUGACCAUUUAUGGUCAUAUAUAGCUUUCUUUACUUUGAUGUUGGAUAAUAGCAGUGGAAUCCUCUUUCGCAUUGAAAUUUACUUGCACUUAGCAAGCUUUUCGAUGGAAGUUAUUUGCCUGUUCUGAGUAGUUAAUUGUUAAUCGUAGACACUUGUGAAUUGAGAUAGGUAAAUGUCAUGUUUUUGUUGGCUUGAAAUCCUUUUGCACAGGCACUCCACAAGGUGUUGGCCCCGUGAAAGUAGGUCAAAAGAUAACUGCUGGGAUCACAGAUCUUAUUGAUGUUCACUUUAAUGUCGAAAACCGCAGAAGGCCAGGAAGUUAUUAAGCAAGGGGAUUUUUCUUUCAAUUUCUGACUUCAGUAUAAUGGCCUUGCUUUCCAGAGUCACCCAAGCUGUGAUACAUAAGCGAUGAACUAUGUAUUUUAUAAUGAAAUUGGAUUUCUAGCAUAGAAGCAUGGAGCUUGGUGUUGACAAACCUUUUGGAAUGAAGUAAUAAUGAUUUUAUGAACACAGUUACGGCCUUGACAUAUGUUUACCGACUACAAAGAGGCUUUACAGGAGAAGCACACUUAAAAAUUAAUUUCACACCACAGGAAAAUGCAAAAUCAAGCUCUCCAACAUAUACACGCUCUGACAUAGACGACACUAGAUGGCAAAUAAGAACUUCUGAAAGAAAUAAUGUGUCUAGUGAUCUUCUCAGGCUUCUCCUAGUCCUGGUUGAGGUAGCGGGCAACUCCUUCCAGUACAACUACUUGCAACAAUGGAACAUCUCCCGUGUACCCGCCCUUCUCUAUAUGAUCCUUGUCACCUAAGAAUUGUAGCUAGGGUCCUGAACUCCAACGACAAACCUAACAGGUAUUUUUAUUUGAGCCCCUGUCCACGGUGCGGAAAAAAUUGAGAAGAAAAGGCAAGAGGUAAAACUGGAGAAGAAUCAAGGCAGAAACUAAAGUAGAGGAUCACUUUCAAAUUGUCUACUCUUUAGAUGCCUGUUUGUGCAAACAAAUUAGCAAUUCUAUAAUUCUAAAUGCCCAAUUUUUCACCUCUAGAAUCUUGAUUUUAUAGUAACUUCAAACAGUAGAUGAACACUAGCAAUCCAUGCAAACUUCAAGUACUUCAUAAAAGGUUCAACAGCAAUGCAGAAAACCCAUCAACAAAAAACCUGAACUCCGCAGAUGUAGUAAUCAUCACUAUAAAAUCCUCUAAUCACGUCAAUUUCAACGUGGGGUUUUUAGGAUAAAACCUCAUUCUCAGGUUGAACAAAACUGUCUGGUCUAAACAGACACAAGAACCACGCCAGGUAAGCUCCCUAGUCAUGACCCACAACGAAAACCUUCUCCUGCAGGGUACCACAGAGUCCAAGAGUCCGAUGAGAUUACCGACGAUUGGAAUACGGUGUAGCUCCGCGGAACAGCUUGUGCAUCAGCGUCUCUGAAGCCUCUCAAAUUCCAGCGCCACAGCUCUGUGGCCCAGAGUAGGCGUAGACAGGAGUACCAGAGCUCAGGGAAUCCGUGAAUGAAGAGAAUAAUGAGCCGUUCACUGGAUUUAUGCUAUGGACAUUGAUAUAUCUGUGUUCCAUAGCUUCCAUUAUAUCUAUUUUAGCUUAGCUUGAUAGAAAGGGUUUUGCUUUCGAUUCGUACAGUGCAAAGAUAAGCUGAAUACUUGCGUUUGAUUCCUGAGAAAUGUCAUGUCAAAAUCAGUAAAGGGAAUGGUCAUUAUGACGAUAGAAAUUGGAAAGUAAUUACCAUCGAAAAGGGGCCUCCAGUCUUCAGUCUUCUUUUCAGCCCCAUAAAGAAAAAGGACCAUCAUGCGAAAACAAACACAACUGUACCACUCAAACAGCUUAUUUAUACCCUAUUGCUUAUUUGCUUGACGGUAGAGCUAUUGUUAUUUUCUUCCGCACUAAAUGGACCUCCACUUCAUAUACCAUAAAUCUCCAAUGACGUACCUAUCCAAAGACUUUUCUUGACCAAAAAUAGACAGUUGCCGACUUCUUCAUUACCUACACGGCAUGUCAGUGCAAGAAAAUGAUCUUUUCUUGCACAGUGCAUCAAACAAACACAGCUUAUGCCCUACCCAUGUUACUGCACAAGACCCAUAUCACAAGCCAACACCUUACACGUUAGGCUUUGCCCUUUCACACUUCAUUUUAUUCACAGGUGGACAGAUUUCUCUAAAGCAUAAAAGCGACAAGCUUUCCAGGAUCUUUUUCUGUCGAAAAAUAUGCAAGAAAAAGAAAAGGGGAUUUUCUUUAAUUAUUGAGUAAAUUAUACCCAAUAAAAUAAUCCCAUUUGAAAGCUAUAUCCUCAUAUUUGAAAAAGCACAAGCAUUUACCGUUGGAAAAGUUCAAAACUCAAGGUUCUGCCUAAGAUCCAUCAAUGGAUUUUCUUUUAUUUUUAUAAUGUGGAAGACAAGCCUCGUGAUAGUUGGAGAAUAAAGAAAGGUGAAAACGAGUGAAAGUGACUUAGUUAAACCACCGAGUUACUGAGUAGUCUAUUAGUUGCAGAAAUCAAUAAUCCAAUCCAACAAUCCUCCAAAAGCAACAAACACCUUUUGCAGUUUGCACUUCGGAAAAUCUGGAAAAGAGUGGGAAAGCCCAAGAAAAUAAUAAUAAUGGAUACCUUUCCCAAAGCAAAACCCACAGCCAUCAUCAUCUAGCAAACAACAACUGUGUAGUUACAAGCUAGUCAGUAAGAUCCUGAAACAGUAACUGCACAAAGCCAAAAAAAAAAAAAUGAAAACUUAAACAUCUCAAUUAAGUGACCAAAUAUACUGGCAAAGCAGAAGUGGACAUCCUCUGCUGCUGCUGCUCCAUGUUAAGCUCCCUCAGACUCAAAUAGGGUAUCUCCAAAUCACCCUUUCUUGCUGCCGUCAGAUUACCGGCGAGCGUACCAGGUGAUGGGCGGUUAACGGUCCUGUAUGGAGUACUUGAACCACUUCUGCUUUCAGUUAUGUACACAGGACCAGAUACUGAUGCCCUGAAUGCUCGAGCUCUAGCUUCAUGGACAUCUUCUUCAUCUGCAAGAUCAUUAUUAUGGUGACUGUGGAUCCACCUCCAUUUGAAAAAUAAGAAGGCUUUUCUCCACCAGUGCUUCUUCUUGGUGUUGUGGGUCUUUCUGCUAGAAUCAUCUUUGGUGAUGGGUUUCUGGAGCUUGAAAUGCAAAGAGUCUAUAGUUGUCUCACGCUGGUGGUUCCUUGCUUCCUCCAAGAACUUUUUACAACACAAAGACAAGUUAAUGGGUAAGUCUGAAAAAGAAGACGAGAUCAUAUAUCACAGAAGACAGAGUAAUUAAAGAGUGAGACCUGAAAGUAGUCGAUUUGUGGGUCAAAGCCAUAGUCGCUGAAGUGAUGGGACUCUGGCAUUGGGAAUACGGGAGACUUACUCGCCAUGUCUGUGUAUUUAAAGCUGUGGUUUUGUUGGAUUCAAUUUACAGAUGAGGAGUGAAUAUAUAGAGAUGUAAAGAGGCAUGUGGGCAAUCUAGGCUGGUGGGGGGGGGGCUCAAGGUGGUGAUGGCAACUAGGAAUGGCCACUUGAGAAUGGCGAAGGGAUCUUUUAGUUUAAAAUUCCAAUGGAAAAUACGUACGAUCUCUUUAUUUAACACAGUAGUAUUAUUUAGCUGACACUCACCUGACGAUAGGGGAUUAUUUUAAAAGUUCAUACAGUUACAUUUUUUUUUUUUUUUCUAAAAACACCCUCUCUUCUAUAAAAAUAGACUAUAUAUAAAUAUAUAAUAGAAGUAAAACUUAUGAUCAGAUUAAAAAAAUAUUUAAUUUUUAUAUAAUCAGCUCUAAUUAAAAUUAAAAUUAAAAUUUUUUAAUUUUAAAAGCGAUUUAAUAUCAAUAUACCAAUGCAUUAAACUCUUUGAAAAAAAUUUUGAUUAGCAAUUCUAUUCACAGGGGGUUUAAUUAACCUUGAUUUGUUACUGUUUAUUUUUUCGAUUUUCGGUAUGACUAAUUUGGUUCAUCCAACUUUAACAAUUUCAUUGAUUAAACUUUUUAUUAUUUUUUAAAUAAUGAGACAUAUCUUUUUAAUAAAAAAAUUCGAUCAAUAUUGGUGUAACGAUCAUGAAUGCAUAGAUGGUACACCAUUAAUAAUCAUUACUGUUCUGUCCCAGGACAUCAUCUUAAUUGAUGUUUGCAAAAUUUUUAAUUAUUAAUCACUUUACGGCAAAACCUCCCGAAAGACCAACAACAACAAACUGAAACAAAAUCAACAGUGAGAAGAUCGAUGGACUAGCAAGCCUUAAUCUUAACAGUGUUAUUUGACUAUUAUAAAAUAAAGGGCGUGUUCUGUAAUGAAGCAUUAAACGAAGACUAGAAAAUCUUAACAAAAAAUAGAAAAUAAAAUAAAAUACCAUGAAAUGGAAUAAAGGACAUUUUAGACAAUUCACAAAAAUCGCGAGUCAACCCUGGCGACUAGCGUCUGCUUUUAGAAUUU
rnacentral:lncRNA from 1 species